AAAAAAAAAAAACUGAUAGGGGAACUUUUAAAACUGAAAGACAAAUUUUGAAACUAUCUUGAAACGGACUUACCAGGCCGAGGUUAUUCAGGACCAGGCCAAGGCCAGCAGCACCAACAUUGGAAGACAAUGGAAGCCCUUCCAAAUUGUCAAAAUGAGCGACACCUUUUGUCUCUAAGUUCUGCAGUUCGCUUUGGUAAUUAAAGUGGUCCUUUACGCUUCUGAGAGCAAUCUCUGGACCUUCUACUUCAGAGCUCAACUGAGAAGAAUAGAACAAUAUCUGCAGAACGGCAUCAGGGUUUUUCACCACUACGAGUUCCCUAUCUCCUGUGCAGAAGACAUAAGUUCCAAAGGGUCGAUAGGGGCUCAGCUCAAUGAAACUCAACAAAGUAUCAGACAACUUGUUUGUGUUUCCCAUGAGAUGACAGGCGGCAUGGCUUGCCACAGAUGAUGCAUUGCUCAUCACCGUCACAUAGAGAGCUGAAGCUUCCCUAGUUGGUUCUUGAAUGUGAAUUGUACAUUUUGGGUUCAAGAAAUCGAGGAUAGUUUUCAGUUCCGGCUCAAGGGAAGAGAGAGGAGCAAGCAAAACCCGGGGGACGAUGUCAUACCUCACUACAAAAUGAAUGAAGUAGUGAGACCAACUUUCUCGCCUCAAAGCAUGGUUAAUUAUGAAAUCACCAACAAGAGGUGAUCCAAAAGUGACGCAUAUAGGUGGCAUUCUGCUGGUGCUGGGGUCUGACUUUAUGAAAUUUUCCCAAUUUUCCAGGAACCAAACUGUCAUUAAAACGGCAAUUGGACCAGCUGAGGAAUGCCCUGUAAACACUAUUUGCUUUCUUUCUGCCACAGCUUUCACCACCUGAGAAUGAUUCGAAGUAACUACCCAGUAUUUUAUAUAUAUAUAUUUUCCAGUUUGUCAUUCGUUUGCUUCAUUUCUAUUGCUUCAUUCGAAUUCAAUUGUAUAGUUUAUUUAUUAUUACAGUCAUCUAUUUUGGAAUCUUGAUGAUUGCCAAAGAGGAAGCAACACCAAUACUUACUAACUAGUAGUACAUGUUGCAUUUUGAUUUUUCAGGGGGCAAAAGACUUUAAAAAAAAGAAAGAAAAGAAAAGUAAAUUAACAAAGAAAUCACACACCUCGUUUUGUAGCUGAGGCAGAAUUGCUUGAAAUCUAGUAAGAAAAGCUUCAUUGACAGUUGCAACUUGAUCAUUGCCUAUACUUCGAAGAGAGGCGAACUGAGGUGGAUGUGGAUCGAUCAUUUUUUCGCCAAAAGGGCUUCGACUAAACCAAUCACUGAUAGUCCAAGAACCUGGAAAGCUGAAAAUGACGUCUGAUGAGCCACGAUUCUUUUCCACGAGAUACAGCUGCUUCUCCGGCAAUUUGUGUGCCUUCAUGGCUAUCGAGCAUGCUUUCUUGAUCACCUCUUCUUUCAUGCUUAUCACCUCUCCAAGUCUUUCACUUGCCAUCGUUUCUACAACUGUUAUAGUACUUGUUCAGAAAAUUUCCCGGUUUAGAAGCUUUGCUUGAUAUAUUAUUAUUGCCCUUUUUAUCUUUAAGUCGUAGAGGAGAUAGAAUGUUUCUUGUUUUAAGUUUUGAACGCGUUCCUGGAAAUUAUUGUGUAGGGAAAUGACCUUUUUGGGUAUUACCCAAUCGUUGACUCGACUUUCACUUUGAUCCAGGUCAAGCUCAAAGCUCGCUCAAGAGUCAAGCCGCCCACGAUGCAACCACUUCUGGUUUCUUCUCUCCCCUUUCUCAAAUAAAACAAUAUUAGUCGGGUAAAUCUAAUUCUUUUAUCCAAGACUGAAAAAGGUUCAGACAUCUCCUGGGAUGGAAAACUAACUGCUCUUUUAUUUUAUAACAGCUCUAAGAUUAUUUAUUUAAUAGCUUAUAACAGGUGAACAAUGCAGUAACCAAAUACACGUUUGUCUGAAACUGUAGAUCAUUGCAUUGCGGCUUGUGCCACAUUUCGUCACAGUUACAGGCAGCUGAUCUGGAUUGAAUUGGGCCUAAAUCCUUGUGAUGACCCAGGGUUCGGCCCAAAUUACUGUAGGACCCACCGGUAAUAGCUAGCUAGCUGGCUGGCUAAUAUAUAACAUUUAGACCAUUUUGGUUUUGCCAUGAUAGUUUUACUAAUCAUAGGAAAUGAAUAAUUAAUUUUUUAUCUGUAUAUGCUAGUAGUUUUGGGUUAUAGUUUGGUUUUUUUUUUUUUUUUUUUUUUUUUGAUCGAGAAGAAAUUAUAUUUUGGCUCUUAACAUUAAAGAACUGGUGAUAUGAUAAAUCUGUGUCGGAAAUUGUGCCUUGGGACUUGGGAGUUUAAAAUCAUUCCUUCUCUGUAAAAUCAACCAAGAGCAAAUUAAAAUCAUUGGAAAGGAAGCUAGGAAAGGUCUUCAAUUUUAUUUCAAUCUAAACAACUUUCUACUCUAAGCAAGCUUGAGAAACUAUCAUCAUGCUUCAGAAACUAUCAUAUGAUUCACUGGAAUAUGCUGCUGCUCGAAUAUCUGACAUGAGUUGUUUUGGCAAGUUGAUGAAUUUCACUGGACUUCUUGAUGGUGGUGACAGUGGUGGUGAUGAUGAUACGCUUGUUGUCUCAUUCUUCUUCUGUAAAUUUCGACUAAUGUCAGCACAAACUGUAUCAACCAUGUCCAAAAAUUCUUUUACUAUAUAACAAACAGUUGAAGUGGGUACCCCCAUUUUUCUUUGGAACCUCCUGCUUGGUAGUAUUUUGUUGUCCGCUUAACAAGUUCCAUAGUCCUAUUUUGCUCAUUUCUCACCAGCUUAAGCUCUUCUUCACACUCCUCCAGAAGCCCUUUCAUUUCCUUUAAAAACCCGCAUUUCUCGCUGCUAGCACAGUGUGUUACUAGUUCCCGGAUUUCUACUACGCGGGAUGCAAGUGCGGAGCAAGUAUUGAUGAAUGUGUCAAAGUUUUAUCAUAACUGCUUUUUUUACAUUGGUGAACUCAUUGCUUAGGCCUUCCACUGCGGGCAAUCUUUGUUUUAAGUACUUAUUGUCCCUCUCUUUUAGCGUCGAGCUUUUUGAAUUUGAAUCACCAGUUUUGCUUCUUUUACUGAAAGUCCUUCCAAGAAUGUGGUUUCCGUUGAGUUCGCCACGUCGACCCUUCGAUCGGAUCACUUGCUCCACAACAAAGUGGAGCAGGGUAGUCUUCCCAUCAGUGCUUUUAACAUUAGAAAGCUUUCGGAGGGCACUUAGGUUGAAACGUUGAGCAUUGCCUCUGGAUGUUCCAGCAUUUAUUUUAUUACCAGCUUUUAGAAUGGCUUCAAGAAGUUUUAGGAAGAUCACCAGGGUUGGUAGCUCCUUAUAAACCAUUUCAAGUGCUUGCAAGGACUCUUUGAGUUGAAGGAUUUCUGAUUCGUAAUUUGAUCUGAAAAGUAUUGCAUUAACGCGAGUGAAUGCCGAAGGAACAGCUUUCAGGAUGUGGAAGAGAAAAGAUUCAGCAUCCCCAAGUCUAGUUGGAUUUCCAUUGAAUUGGAGGACUUUGCUUACGUCGUCUUAGCUUGGAGAUAUUUUGGCAAGUUUUUCAACGAUGUCAAUGCUGAGUCCCUGGCCGUCAAGGAGGGCCUCUAUGAUUUCUUUUUGAGAGAUUGCGAGUGACCUCAGUAUUAUUGCUGUGUUUUGGGACUUGCGGGGUUCAAGGAUAAAAAGCUCUGCUGUUGGUGCCGCAUUGGAACUGCCUGAACUCAUGGACGUUUUGCUUCUUUCAUAGAGUCUACGAUUGAUGGUGGAAUAUCCAAAUAGAUUUUCAAUUUGUUCAUCAUCAAAUCUGAAAAGAAAUAGAAGAUUUAGCAAACAAGAACUGGAACAAUGCAAUAGUAGUUUUACUUUAAAAAAUGACAAAUUACCUCAGGGAUCCGUCGUUGAUCUCAUUCCAGACCAUCGAAUGAUCAACAUUGGUUGCGACCUUAUCCCAGUGCAAUGAUUUUAGCUUCACAUGGCCAACAACAGUCCUACUUGAGCUCUCCGUCCUUAAUCUUACUUGCAUUCCCCUUCGGAGUAGGUGGAGGUUUCAAUGGCGAAGCUAAAUUAGGUGCCUUAGGAGGUGGGGAUGCUGGCGUAGGAUUUCUUUUUACCCGUAUUGGUGGCAGUGUUGCUUGUAAUGGAUGAUUAACACUAGGAGGAGGAGGAUGAGGCGGUGGCGGCGGUUGUGUUAGCAACCUAACUGAAGCUGGAGGUGGCAGAGUUCGAUUUUGUCGAAUUGGCUCUGCCUUUCUCUCACCGCCGGUUAAAUCAGAUGUCUCUUCGGGUGACAAACGUGACAUAAUACUUCUUUGUACUGUUGUUAUGUCCAUGCAUUUUUCUUCAUCUUCUUCGAAACUCGGAUUAAACACAAUCUUCGGAAAAGUUGCUUUAAGCUCUCCGUGUUCUAGUUUCCUCAUGUAAAGGACUUCCUCAACAACUAAACCUUUUACUCUUCCUUUAAAUUUCUCAAACUCUUACUGAGUCACAGUUGCUUCCUGUCUACGGAAGCUUGAAUUAAUUUUAUUUUUCUGCCGAAGUCUUUUAGUUCUUUGACAGAUCAAGAAGGCGACUCCAGCGAUAACCAGAGUAACUCUGCUGUGGCAGCAAUGAUCUUGGCAGUGCUUUUGGGCAUCCCGAUCAACCAAGGACUAUGGAAAGAUUAUGUUAGUAGACUUGUUGGCCAAUGAAUGAAUAUCAAUGUUCUGUGAAGAAUUUUAUUGAGAAAAUAGUGAGGAAGAACAGAUGACAACAAAAGGGUAAGGCAAGUAAAAGGACAUGGCUACACCAAUGUGAAUUAUAACAAAAGGGGCUUAGAGAAAGCUGCAAUGAGGAGCGAAGGAAACUCUGUUGUUUCAUUACUACUCUUAGGCAAUUGAAGUAAAUUCUUCUGUACUGCAUAUGGGUGUUGUUUGCAGACGGUUUCAAUGAAGGUAGAUGACAUGUCCAGUUUUGCUUAACUCUUCCUGUGAAACUCCAUUGGAAGUGACUAUAAGAGCCUGUUAAGAUUCAGGUUGGAUUUGCACAUUGUCCAGCUCUAAAUGUGUUAUGUAUCUACAAUUCCGAUGAGGGAAGUGAUGGUUUAGCCGUCGCCCUUGCUUAACUUCAUUCAUAUAGACAACCAACAUAACAAACAUUUGCCUUGGAUUAUAUCAAUAUCUUUGUAUUGCAUUGUCUAUUUCUUUUUCUAUUCUUAGUAAUCUCGUCUUCGAUUUAAAUUAAACAAUUUUGCUACAGCUGUUGUAAAAUGCCAUAAGCAGGCUUCCCAGAAUGUGUUCAUUGUUUCUAUUUGAUUGGAAGAUUAUAAUAUUAACGAACCGAUAUAAUGUGCUGCAAGCUACACAGCUGAAUAUGAUAAUCAAUAAAUGCUUUGAAAGUUUCGAGCAUUUUCUCUCAAGAUGCCACUGGGCAUCACAUUGCCGGCAAAUUCUAAAUGCCCUUUUAGACCAAAUCAAGACAAAAUAUAUACCCCCGUUGAUAAUUAGGUGUAUUUUGAUGAAUGUGGCUCAUUAGUUAUUUUUGACGGGGUAUAACUGCAUGAUCUGUUGGCACUUGGCAACAUGUCCUCUCAAAUUGAAGUCAUAUGCUUUUAUUGUAGAAUCUGAAUUGAAAUAUCAACGCUCAUCAUUAAGACUUGAACGUCGUAGCCAUUAGCGAAGAAUCUGAGUUAAUUAAAAACCUCACCAAUUCAUUUAAAGAAUUGUUGAACACAGGCACUGAAAGCUUUGCACCCCAUUUAUGAACUCAAUUGUGUUUUAGAUAAACUUGAGUAAUUGUCUGCUGUGAUUGAUGUCCCUAGUGUUUUAACUGCACCUAUGGGUCCUUUAAAUUUAUAGAUUUAUAUAUAUAUAUAUAUAUAUAUAUAUAUAUAUAGCACAUAAUAAGCAGUAUUAAAUGUUUUAGCUGGAGCAUAGAAUGUCAUUUGGCCCAUAAUAAACAAUAUUUAAUGUUUUAGCUGGGAGCUACUAAAACUCCCAGCUAAAACAUUAAAUACUGCUUAUUCUGGACUGCUGUUCCCAGCUCUUUCUCAGGGCCAAUGCAUGCUCCAACAAGACUUGUUUAAAUGUAAUUGUAGCAAAGAAAGACAUUAUCGUAGAUUUACUUGGUCAUGUUUUACCCUUGUAAUGUUAGCUUUCCCUCAGUCUCUCUUGGUCUAUCUUCCUUCCAAAUGACAUUAUUAGGAGAGUAAAUCAAAGAAAUUAUUGCAUAACUUGGGAAAUCUACCUGCCAUUGCUCAAAUACCUUUAUAUAUAUAUAUAGAUGGAGGAAUUAAGAGUCUAAAUUUAUACAAUUAUAACAUAAUUUGGUAGUCUAUCGAGCAUAGUUUGAAAAUCUCACUUCUAUAUAUAUGAUUUGCGCAAAGUACUUCAAAGAUUUACCACCGUGAUAGGGUAAAAGUGAUUUACCACAUACCCAUUGGCCUGAAUGGAAAAGUCCACGAUAUUUAAACGAGAAAAGAUGCUUAGGUCAGGCUUCAAGCUGUACUUGCAAUAGAAUUAGAAACAACAUAAUCUCCAAGAAAGUUGAAUGCAAUUAUCCAACGUCAGUUUUUUGUAUUAGUGAGGUUCCACAGCUAAUAUUGCUGAUUGUAACUUACGUCGAUGACAUCCACAUCAAUGUAUGUGUGUAACAUACCAGCAGAAUUGUUGAUCAUGCCACGUAAUGCAGAAAGUCACAUACGAGCAAAAUUGUUAGUGCAUUUCACGGAAAAGAUUCAACCGAGCACACUAUCAGGUAAUAUCCCGAGUAACUGGGGCUUCACUUCAUUAAUGGCAAUGAAAUUUCAACUCCCACAGAAAUAUCACAACAAAGAGCAAAAAUACUUCAUUACUUUUCUAUACAUAAUUCUCAUGGUUUUCUUCUUCUUCUUCUUUUUUUUUUUCAUUUUUCUCUGGUCGUUGUAAAUUCUUCAUGUCAGCGAAGUCUGGUAAGCCACGGUGAACAAAAUUUUACAAAAAUCAAUCUUCUCUUCAUUUGGGGCUAACUACUGACUAUAGACAAAAAAUGACAAUUCUUAGUCACUCAACAGCAAAUGACUCAAGAGUCCCUGCUAAAGUAAUUUAGGUCGCUUGAAGGGACAAUUGGGUGAAGACAGUGAAGAUGGUAGUUGGGAAGAUUCUAGAUCACAAGCAACCGAAGACGAGAAUGAUAGGGGAACCGAGGAGGCCUGAAUAUCAUCAAUUAGUUUCCUCUUGAGAAGUCCACUUUUGCCAUUUUCCUGUGGUUCUCCUCUCAUUAUGUGAUCUUUUAGCCGUUUAACGUCUGAUAGUUUCACUGGCUUGACUAUGUAUUCCUCUGCCCCUUCUUCCAAACAACUGUUCAUCAUAGAGAAAAUGGAAGCUGUUAAUAACUUGCCAUAGAGGACACACAUAAAUGGAUUAAAAAAAAAAGGAUUCAAUUAGGGCAAUUUGACCAAUUCUUAAUCCAAAUUUUGUGCAGGGAAGAGGCAAUUAAAUGAGUUUUAGAUAAGCAGGGAACAUUUUUUAUGAUAAUUUUACAAUACUUGAUUAGACUGCUUCGUGUUAGACAAUAAACAAACAGUCAAACCCCACCACCCAAUAAUGGCCAAAGGAAAAUGGCCAAAGGAAAAUGCAAGUGAACUACCCAGACCUAAGUGGCGAGUAUCCUUCACUUUCUCCAUAUGGAAUGAUGAAAUUCGAUUAAAUUUCAUUUAUAAAAAACAGCAGACAUAAUCUUUUACCAUGAUUAAGAUCAAAAGAUUCUAUCAUUCUACAAUUCUAAAUCGGACAGUAGUUACAAGAACAUACCAUGUGAGGUGUUAUUUCAUAGAUUUAGAAAUAUUCCCUAGUCAACAGACAUAAAGCCAUAUAGGGUAGGGUAGGGUAUAUUAUCCAUGCAUUAUUUUUUACACACGCCACCAGUCGGUCCAAUUAUAUUUAUAUUUGAGGUGAAAAAAAUCAUAAUAUCAUAUCCCAUAAAGAUUUUGGUGUCCCAAAUCUGGUGUUGGAAAUAUUGACAGAUUUUCAUUCUCUCAUCACAGAUACCCUGUAUUUCAUACGGGCCAGAGGAGAUUUGAUCUUUUGAAUCAAAUGAUCAGAUUCCUCUUAGAACCAUAUCAGAUUUGAUCUCCAAUUAAACAAAAGAAAUUUCCCCAAAUCUACUAUUUUUAGCUCUUAUGGUAACAUCAAUACACAAUUAAAAACAAUUGAUUAAACAUAGAAUGAGAUUAAACCAAGAACUUACCUAUCAAUCUGAGUUAAGACAUCCUCAGAAGACAUGAUCACUACCGGAACCUCUCUGAAAACAGAUGAUUCCUGCACAGAAAAUUCAUUUAACAUCAAACCAAUACACGGAAAAGGGAAAAAGAUUUGAAAUUUCAACAUAGGAUUGAAGCCACCAGAGAUUUUAAAAUAAAAAGACCGGAGGGCUCACCUUGAUCUUUUUGAGUAGUUCAUAUCCAGUCAUCCCAGGCAUGGUAUAAUCUGUAAUGAUCAGAUUCACCUUCAAAGCCUGCAAGUAAACAAAGAAAAUAAAAAAAAUGAGCCUAACAGAAAACAAGUUUGGAGUUCUUGAGUUAAGGUAGAAGUUCAUAACUUCAACUUCAUCAUGUUUAUAUCUUUUUUCCCUCCAUUUUCUCAUCAAUCAAACAAAAAUGCAAACAAAAAUGUUAAAAAAAAUCGGCACUUACAUCAAAACCAACAUUGCUUUGCUCUCCAUCUAAACCCAGAUACUGUAAAGCUCUUGUUCCACUCUCCACAGCCGUCACUGCAAAAAAAAAAAAAAAAAAAACAUUUCAGUUCGCUUCACAAACCCAUCAAAAUAAAAACUAUAGCAUCUUUUCAUGAAAAAGACCAAUAAUUACCUUUACAUGAGGAUAUCUGAAGCAAUCUCUCAAUAAGCUUGCGAUCAACAUAACUAUCGUCGACAGCAAGAACAUGUAGCUCCUUAGAACAUUCAGCCACUGUUGCCAUUGCCCAAAAAGGAAAGCCUCUAUUAGUCUCUUUGAAUUUCUUUUCCUUGACGAGCCGUUGGUGGGUUUUUGUCAAUAUAUUAUGUGUUUGUGUAAGGCUGUAAGCAAACGGGAAACGUUGAGUUGGAGCUCCUGCAGGUUUUGCUUUAUAAAUAAGGCAAGAAAAGAGAGAGAGAAAAGGAGAGACAAAGGUGACAAGAUUCUGAGGAUCCAAUAUCUUAAGAUCUUAGCAAAUCUUUCUUUUUUAGCAAGUAUCUUUCAGAUGACCCAUUAUCAACCAACUUGUUGUUUGUCCCGUCAAUUUUAACUCUAUUUAUUCAUCUACAAAAUCUUUUUCGGUGUUGUUUCUAUGACUCCCUGUCAGCGAGAAGACAACACGCAAAUAUUAUAAUAAUAAUAAUAACGUCUACUUACUUUUAUUAAUUUUGACCCAAAAAAGAAUAAAUUUACCUGUACAUUGAGGUCGAGGCGGGGAAUUGAGGGUUGUGGAGCAGGAUUUUUGACUCUUGUAUGGUUUGAAUUGCACACAAAUGGGUUCAAAGAUUUGCAUAUAUUGCUUCAUGUUCAUGGUCCAAUGGUCGUCUCUUUCACGGGCAGAAUAUGACCCACAGGGAAAUUUUCUAAAUCUAAGUGAAUAGCGAUACAAAGUUGAUUGUUCAAAACAGCAUUGAUAUCAAGCAUACCGACCGACAAAAUUCUAGAUUUGCCAAAAUUGACUAACGAAGAUAUGAAUCAAGAUAUGUCUAUAUUAACGUAUGAAACCGCGUAAUAUUAAGUGAGUUAUUUAUUUCCUUCACUAUCUCAUUUAUUCUUUUAAGGUUAAACGGAAUGAAGGAGUAUGUAUUUAUGUUUUCAAUUAAUCCAAAAACUUAUUAAAUAGUUUUUUUUUUAUGAUAUUUGUGUUUGAUUAAAAUAGUAUAAAUUUAUUUUUAUUUAAAGAGUCUUUUGAAUGAUAAUUUAAUAUUAUUAUUAUUUUGCUCUUUUAUCUGUCAUAUUAAUAAGUAAAUAAGUAUUUGAAAGUUAAAUCAAAAGACUUUCAAUUAUUGAUAUAAUAUGGUUAGACAAUUAAAAAAAACUUUGUUAUUCAAUUAGCAAUACGAUAUGUUUAUAAAGACUGUUAUGUUAAAUUUAGUAUGAUAUAUGUUAAUAUCUAAUUAUAUUGUUCAUAGAUUAAUGAUAGGGUUUGAUUAUGUUGGAAUCGUUUUAAAGUAGAGUAUAUUUUUAUAAUUACACGAUUAAAAUUAUAAUAUAUUUUUUAUUAUUUAUUACUUUACGAAUGUAAUUAGAAUUUGUGCUCUAAUUUAAAAGUGCUUAAGCAGCCCAUGCCUCGGUAAUAAUGCGGAUUGAAAAGGAAAAACGAAGAAGAAGAAGAAAAAAGUAAAGGGAACGGCACUGCAUAUGGCCGCAGGUCAAUAUAAAUAAAGUCUUUAUUUAUAUUGACUUUAUCAAAAAAAAAAAAAAAAUUGACGUGAUUUUCUUUACUUUUGAAAUUUUUGCAAAAUCCGAGAAACGGCCGAAACGGCGGCUUCAAAAAUGGGAAAGUCGUACAGACUGUGGUUAAUCUCGGGACUCGAUACAAUACAGAAAUUGGAUUGAAUGUACGUACGGGUUACUGGGAGCCAAAAUCUUUUUAGGUUUGAUCCGGUGAGAGGGCGACAGGUGGUGAAGUUCCCAAACCUCCUCUAUGUGCGCGAGUGAUCAUUAUUAAAUAAAUAAAUAAAUAAAUUGAUCAUUUUUAAUUCUAGGGUUUCUACUUUUUUUUGUGUGGCACUGGCACUCACUGCGUAUGGGUAUAGACACAGAAUACGAAUCUGAGAGAUCGAGUGGGAAACCUGGAUCGUGGGAUUGUGGCGUGAGAUUUUGUUGCGCAUCGUAUUUUCAUAUAAUGAAAAUUAGAUGUAUUGCUGAAUCCUGAGGUGACAUCUCAUUACACCCACACUUUUUACCACGUCCUCAAUCAAGUUCAAAUUACCGACAACAAAAUCUCUAAAUACAAAGACCCCUUUGUCUGUUAUGCGAGUCCACAACAUACAUGUACAUCAACACCAUCAUAUUAUUCACCGUCCACGUGUCGAUUGAUUGAACGUGCCUCUUCUCAUAUAUAUAUCUUCUUAUCUUUAAUAUAUAGUAAGGAUUAAGUUAAAUUUUUUUCCUAAAAAUAUGAAUUUCAAUAUGCUAAAGAACACAAUAUUUAUUUUUCUUUUUUUUUUUAAAAAAAAUCUAUAUCAAUAAAGUAAGGGUUAUUUGCUCUUUUUUUUCCGUAAAAUUACUCUUAAUUCAAUAAUUACAAAUUAAGUCUUAAAAAAAAAUUAAGUUGACCCCAGGAGUCGAGAAUAAUCUAUAACAAGGGUUGUUAACUGCAUUGAUUUGAUCCUUCAAGCACACUCAUGGGUCAUUAUCCAGUUGGGUGAGCUGGGUCCACUUUACUGUGAGAGAAAUAAAAAAGAAGCUGAAGGGUGUAUUUAGUAAUAGAUUGUCAGUCCAAAAUCCAAACCUACAUGGCCCGAUUCUAUUCUGUACAUUUUGGCAGCCCAAAGACACAAAAAGUGAGCGACGCCGUAGGGGCAAAAUCCGCCGCCCAAUAAAGUUUCAACUGCGCAGAAGUUUCGGCGGUAGUACCUUACCAUUCAUUACCAUCGAGAGAUGGAGGAAGAAAAGGCGGCAGCGUACUAUGACGAGCUGACCCGGAAGGGCGGAGGUGCCGCUAGAUUCAAGCAAGGUCUCGGCUUUUCCUCCUCAUCCACUUCCGAAAACGACGCCGUACCCGCAAAACAUACUUCUUUCCUCAGCAACUUUGUUAGAGCCUCGAGCCCCACCACAGCCUCCCAUCCUGAGAAACCCUCUCAGCUCGAAUCUAUUCAAAACAAGCUCAAGAAGAAGCCUAGCGAAGAAAAACCAACUCAAUCAAGGGUUAGCACUAAAGACAGCGACAGAGAGAGGAGUCACAGAGAUAGAGGGAGAGAUCAUAGAGACAGAGACAGAGAGAGGAGUCAUAGAGAUAGAGGGAGGGAUCAUAGAGACCGAGACAGGGACAGAGGAAGGAGUAAUCGAGAUAGAGAUGGAAACAGAGAGAGAGAAUAUAAAGAUAGAGAAAGGGAGAGGGGGAGGAGGAGGAGCGUGUCGCCGCCACGAGAGGGGAGGGGAGGAAAGAGGAGGGAGGUGGAGAAGGAGAGGAAUAGUAAAGUUGAUUAUUCACGGUUAAUUGAAGGCUAUGACCACAUGGUACGUCUCUUCCUUCUGUUAUUAUUACUUUGAAUUGUUAUUGUGUCUGGGUCUGUUUUUGUUUGUUAGAUACUGUAUUAUGUAUUCCGUAUUUGUUAAGGUGUUGAGUGUUGGCAACUUGUAUGGCUGGAUUCUUCUUUGAAUUGAUUGUCAUUGUCUGAUUAAUAUGGGUUAUUUUAUAACUGUGGUUGAUGCUCAAAAGGGAGAUAAAUGAGAGUAACAGAAUGAGUCUGAGAGUAUGUUGAUCUUGAUACUGUGGUGAUAUGUGCUUUUAUUAGAGCUCAGAAAUUGAUUCAGGCUGACAUCACUACUUUUUACAGCUUUGAAUCUUAUAGAAUUUUAGAUUAUUCAUAGACUUCAACUUUCGGAGCUGUGAGAUUUUAAUUUAGUUACUCAUCUUUUGCAUGUUCCAUUGUUGUAAUCAUUGGAUGUAAAAUCAGAAAUUUUUGCACGUGAAUCUGCACAUUUGAUAUCAAAUGCUGUCACUGAGAAAUGACUGUGUGUUGUGUGUAUGAGUUAAAAAGGAAGAAAGGAUUUGAAUUGCUUAUCCUUAUGCACAAAUAUAUCAACUGUGAAGUAAAAGAGGAGUGUCUGGAAAUGCACCUCAGAUUAGAUAUUGGUAGAAAUGAAUUAUUCUAGUUUUAAAAAUGCAUUGAUAAAGACUUAUCUCUACUGUCUUGGUCAAAGAAGUUAAACACAUAUAUGGUUGCAACAGAUGUAGUUUUAUUUUUCCAGUUUAAUGUUGAAAAUAUGUGAGGAUAGAGGGAAAGAUAUCACGCGACCUAGUCACUUCAUCGAACCUCUAAUCUGAAACAGAAUUUGGUUAAGGUUCAGUUACAUGUGGUUUUGGCACAUAUUACAACCCUCUCUCACAUUCAUACCUUUUUUCUUUGUAUAUUAUGUUUUUUUGCAGUCGUUUUCUUAUUUAUGAGGUUAACUUGAAUUGUAGAACUGAGUUCUUUGGAAUAUAAUACAUUAAUAACUUUCCAGCAAAUGACUUUGAUACAAUAGUUCUCGGUCACCAUGGACUGGAUCAGUCAUUAAAGUUACCUUUCUUUUGUGAACAGACGCCAGCUGAAAGAGUUAAAGCCAAGAUGAAACUUCAGCUAGCUGAAACUGGUAAGUGACCUUAUCUUCGUUUGGUGCUGACUUUUUAUUCUUUUUAUUGAUCAAAUUGUAGUUUUCCAGAAACUUGAGGAUUCAUUUUAUUUGCUUUCUCAAGUAUAUUUAUGUACUGAAAGGCCAAUCUUUUAGGCAUCACCCUUUCAUGUGUUGAAUCUUUUGCAAAAUUUCGUAAUAAUGACCCCCUUGAUAGCAAUAUUUUAUGUAGAUUUGGUUUGACAUAUCAAUUUUGCAAUCCCUGAGGUUCUCACUGGGCAAGCGUUUGUUUCACUUAGCUUAUAAUGUUUCCCCUUGUCCCUGGAUGAGCAAAAGAGCUGUUAGAUACCUAUUAGCUAAGCUCCUAAAUAUGGCAUUUUCUCUAUGUUGUAAUUUAUGAUCUUUUGUCCCAUUAUAGUGGUGUUUUCUGAGUGCAGCUAAUAAGGAUGAAACAAAGGGCUCUGGAUGGGAACGAUUUGAGUUUGACAAGGAUGCCCCUCUUGAUGAUGAGGAAAUUGAAGGUUGGUUAUAUAUUUCCACCUUUAUGUCUGACCUGGAUAAAAUAACAUGGAGGUUAGAACUAAUAUUAUUAUGUUCACCCGAUCUUCAGCCGCGGAAGAUGAUGCAGCCUUAGUCAAGCACAUAGGACAGAGCUUCCGGUUUUCUGCCAUAGAGGUAGGUGUUCUGCUAUCCAUUUCUUAUCGAGUUAGCAUGUGAUGUUUAUGCUAGUUGGCUCUAACAGUAUGUUCUUGAGAUAUUAAGAGUGAAUUAUGUGUUUUAAUGAAGUAAUUAUUUAUAUUAUGUGAAUUCUGAAGGCAAGAAGAGAGGAACAAAUAAAAGCCGCUCACGAUGAGGCCAUGUUUGGAGCAUCUGCUGUUCCACCAUCUGUUUCUUCAGAUAGUGAACCAGAACCAGACAGCAUUGAAAAGAAGAGCAGUGAUGGCGACAUUGCUACAAGCCUCUUUAGUGAGAAUGUAAAUAACUUCAGAUUUUAAUGAACAAUUUUUCUUUUUCCUGCAACUGGAGGGACGGACAUCAAAUUUUACACAAUUGUUAAUUUGGUUUCAGGUCCUUGCAAAGCAACAAGGUUCAUGGCGUGACCGUUUUCGCAAGGCAUAGAAUACCAAUCAACAACGAGAUGUCCACCCUCAGUUACAGUGACUUAAGUGUUGUACAUAUAGCUGAUAUUGUGGAAAUUUAACGCCCCAUAGCCAAAAGCGUGUCUGUAAACAAUAUGCAGAAGAUCAAGAUUUUUGCCUUCAGUUUCCUACUCCUCAUUACUUCUUUCACGGGUUCAAUAACAUUUUUCCGCCAUCCGUUCGGGUUUUACUAAAUUUUUGCAUUUGAGGACUUCGCAGACGAAAUGACAAUCGUCAGUCGAGAUUGUCUCUUCAUUAUGUACCAAGUCCUAACAACCCAAAGUUACAACAUAGUGUAAAUAUUGUAAUGUUGAAUAAAACAGGUAAUAACAUUAAAGCCAUUUGCGAAAUGUCUUUGGUUCUAUUGCUAAAUGGUGCGUCGUUCCAUUACAGCGGUAACAUACGAUUUGUCGAGUGUAUUACAAAAUAAUGGACGACAUGCUUCUCCUUCAUAAAUUCGUGUACCAUUUCCCUACUUGGGGUUGGGGAUAACAACUUGCUCGUAUACAAAUAAACUUCAAUGACCCGUCGUCGGGCAUCUCUUACAUUAUUUAAUGAUUAUUCAGAAUAAUUCUUACGCGUAUCAGUUAUCAGUUUAGCAAAUGGUAAAAGCUAUUAUGGGGAAAAAGGAAAAAUUGGAUAAUAAAAUUUUGACUAAUUUGUUUGUCUUUAUUUUUGUGUGGAUGUAAUGGGUGUAUUACUAAUUAAGAAUGAAAACGAGGAAUAAAUUAAAAUGAGGAAUAAUAAUUGAUCUAUAGUUUAUUUCAUCAGUCUCUACUUUUAAAUUAACUUCUUUUAAUUUCCAUAGUUAUCUUUAUUAAAAAAAAAACGAAUUAAUUUUUUUUUCUUUUCUCUCUCAUGCCUUCUCGGACUCAAAUCUCUUCUUUCUAAUCUCAAGCAACACCAUUUUAACGCAUUGGAUGCUUAGAAACAAUUGAAAAACUCAUUAACAAAAAAAAAAAAAAAAAAAAAGCCAGUUUAAAUUCAGACUAUCAUUCUCUCGAGCCAUUUAUUACUUUAUACUUCAGAAUUCCUUUUAUUCAGUUUCAAGUUGUCCCAAUUUUUAGCUAUUAAAAGCAAGGGUAAAAAACAAAACCAAAUUCAUGAAAAUUAUGUCAUUACCAUUACCUGCAAUGCUUCUAAGCAAGGCUUGGGAUUCUUACUUACAUCAACAGCUUUAAUGGUUGUGCCGAAUGACUUUGGACGUGGUGGCACAAUGGUCUGUUCGGUUCCCUACGUUUGCCAAAUCGCUAAAAGUUUGUGAUAUUGGUUUUUUUUGUUUUUUAAAUAAAAAAUACUUAAUUUACUUUUUUUUUUUUUUUUUUUUUAUGUAUACAAGUAAGGAGUUUCCACUCUAUCUUUUAAAGUAUCAUUCUUCUAAUGUUAGAUUAUAUUAUACAUAUCAAUGGUACGUAUGCCUAAAUUACUGAAAAAUACCUUCAUUUUUAAGGGUUUAGGUUGUUGGUGAAACAUAGGCUAAUGAAAUAAUUUUGGAGGUUAAACAGUCAAAUAGAUUGUUUUGUUUAUUUCUAAAAUAUGGAGGGAGAAUAAGAAUCAAAUUAGUAGACUCUGCACUAACUUGGGAAUACUUAUCGAGUUAUGACUCCCAAGACGUUGGAAAAUCAUACUCUCCAUUCCUUGGAUUAACUAAAUUACCCCUACUCAAACCUUGUAAUUCCAUUUUAUCAUUCCUUUCAGUAUUUGGGGAAAAAAAAAUUUGAUUAGCAAGCACUGCACAAAUCAAUCUCAUCGUCAUUACUGCUUGUUAAUAUCAUUGUUGAGCACCCAUUGGUCGUCUCUGCUACUCACUUCCAUUGCUGCUUGUUGCCAUUGCUAUUGCUGGCUGCCAAUGUUGCUCAUCGUGAUCAUUACUGUUGUUUCACUGUCAGUUGUUGUUAUUAUUAUUAUUGUUCACAUUUUUGUCAUUAUUAUUUUUAUUAAAUUUAUAACUGUUAUUGAUAUUUUUUUUAACAACAAUUUUUUUAUAAUAGUUGUAAUUAUUACUAAAGACAAUACUAAUAAUAAUUAGGAACAUUUUAGCAAUUUUUAACUGUUCAUUCUAUUUUUAAAAUAAUAAAAAACACAUCAAUAAAAGUACAACUCAUUUAAAUUUUAAUCCCUAUAAUUUAAGUAAACAUCUUAUUAUUAUUCUGAUAUUUAUUUUUCAUUUCCCAUAAUAAUCCAUUGUAAUUUUAGUCCGUUCUAAUAAAUAACCGAUGAAUAAACACAGCGUCAGAUUGUUGCCAAUUGUUGCAAACGACGAACGCGGUAUUGCAAGUUGCUGAAAGAAAAGGGGUUGCGGACGCCAACAUUUACAGAGCUACGUGUCGUUUACGGAUUGGAGGACGGAGAGCGCAGCCAGACCGACUACUUGCGUAAAGCGACCAAUGAGUACCUAAAAAGAAAUAAAUAAAUAAGAAAAAAUGAAAGCCCUAGCCCCUUGUCAAAAAUCAAAAUAAAUACUUCGUCUCUCUGGCCAUCUAUCCCGCAUAUUACUUGGCGAUAAACAGGAACCAGAUCCUUCGGUUGACUUGCUCCGCUGCCAAUUUCAUAUAGAGCAUACAAUGGCCGGGAACCGAUGGAUUAGGCCCGAGGUACGUUCAAGUUCCAGCGUUUAAUUUUUUGUCUAACGCCAAUAUCGCUUGGUUUGAUUUUGAUGGGAUUUGAUCAAAUCUGUAAUGCUAUUUUUGAGUUCGUAUAGAUCUCAACAAAUUGAUAAGUUUGAAAAAUACGUGUAGGUGUUUCCACUGUUCGCGGCUGUAGGCGUUGCCGUCGGGAUCUGCGGAAUGCAACUCGUCCGCAAUAUCUGCAUCAACCCUGAAGUCAGGUCUCCCGCUAACUCUAUCCAGAAAAUUAUUAAUUUUUUAUUUUAAUAAAAUUUGUACAUGGCUAUCUUAAUUUCUAACUGGAUAUAAUUAACGGAAAAACUGAUUGUUUAGACUAAUGUGAAUGGAGUAGAUUACCUUCCAAUAUUUGUGAGGUUAGAAAUUUGGGUUGUCCUAUAGUAGGCUUGAUUUAAGCUGUCCUAGUAGAUUAUUGUAGUAGACAUAUCAAUGUUAGAGAAAAAAAAAUAAAUGCAGUUCUGGCUUUCCUGUCAAAGAAAAAGGGGGAAAUAAAUCUCUUUAUGAAAUCUAGUGAUGGUUUUGAUGUCUCGAAGGUAUCACCAAUAUAAUAACAAUAUAAGAAAAAAAAAAUGAAACUUAAAACUUGUCUGAAAAACCUGUGAACAAAAGCCGGCCUAAAUGCUGUGUUUGAUGUUACACCAUGGCAUCUGUGCUUUUGGAAGAAUGUUUAUUUGAGUAUUAAAUUGGAAGAGGACUUUUGUAAUUUUUUAAGCAUGUGAAAUUUUUUAUCGCACGCUAUAUGAUUUAGGUGGUUCUGUGGUUGCUCCUUGUCUAUUUGUUGACAAAAUGAUUAAAAUGUUGAUGUAGAGCUCAUCUAACUUCAGUGGACGAAUUAGGCUUAUUAUAGGUGUUGAUAUUGAGCUCUACGGUGCUAGAAAAACACUUAUUUGAGGGAGAUGUGGUUUAGAGAUUUCAGUGCUAGGUUUUAUUUGUUGGAGCCUGUUGUCUUAUUUGCUUCAUAUAGAGGGGAGAGGAGAUUAUAAGAAUGCAUUCUGGUACACAGAUGUGAUGACUUUUGCUUGACUUACAAUCUUUCUUUUGGCCUUGUUGAAUCAGGGUGACCAAGCAAAACAGAGCUGCAGGAGUUUUGGAGAAUUAUGCUGAGGGAGAAAAGUAUUCUGAGCAUUUCCUAAGAAAAUAUGUCCGCAACAAGACCCCGGAAAUCAUGCCGAAAAUCAACAGCUUCUUCACCGACCCUCAGUGAAGAUAGUUGCUUCCUUUGAGAAUUUAAUGGUGUUUUGUAGUGGUAUGUGUGAACUUCAGGUCUCAUAUAUCAAAUGGAAAUAAGAUUUGGGUGAAUAUAAACACUUUGAUUUGUGUUUGUCUGAAAUGGAUCAGUGUCUCCAAGGCAACACAGUUAAUUGAUAGUGCUCUGUCAUUUAUUACCUUUACCGAUGAAUUCUACUCCUUUUCUGUAAUAUGUUAUCUUACUAUUCUGGAACAACAAUAUUUUUUUAUCAAGAUUGGAUAUAUUAUUAACUUGAGAUGAUGAUAAAAGUUUUUAACUCUGGAGUGUUUGUAAAACUAACAAAUGCCUAGACUGGUAGCAAUAAUGUUUCAAUUUGCAACAGUGGACAGCCAAAAUAGAUCAUCAACUAACAAACAGAAUUGCUCAAGCUCUAUAAGUAAAAUAACUUAUUGAAAGGACACUUUUACGAGUGAGGUUUUAUGGAGUUAUAAGUCUCAGCUAUAGCUGAAAUGAAUCUAGAGAAGGAAAGUAUUAAAUUGAUUAAUAAAAUUUAGUAUAAAAGUAAAACAGUUUUCCAGGUUGUACACGGCACGUCAACUCCUCCGCCUUCAGAAGUUAAGAACACUACAGUAGACAACACUGAAGGUAAACAUUGACGAAAUGUGAUCAUGCUACAAAUUUACAACCUUUAAAGUUAAUGCAACAUAUGCAGACUUGAAUUCCUGCACUGGGAAUAUCCAUCUUCCAAAUAAACAAAACAAAAUUUAUAUCAGAAAAUACAAUGGCUUCUUCGGUUAGACGACCAAGAUAUGCUUGCCUCUCUAAAUUCAAUAUAUCUCAAGCUAUUCAAAGUUGACAGUUCCCUCAAAACUGUAAAUAACUCACAGCUGCCUCAGAAGGAAUUUUAACUUCUCUAAGUAAUAGCAUAAAAAUCAUGGAGGAAAGUGUUCAACAUCCAUUGGAGGAAAACUAGAUUGUGCCAUUCUCAUUCCUCGAAGCAUAAUCUUUGCAGUUUCUUUUUCCUACAAUCAUGCACAGAAGUUAAGAACUUAAAAAUAUGUAUAAACCAGUUUUGACAUUUUAUUUUUCCUCUCUACAAAUUUUUCAGAUAGGUAAAACUCACCGGGCCAGUGUAAUCCAGAAGACGAGUACAAUACACCUCUGCCUCUUCAAAUCUGCCAUGCGCUCUGCAGUGGGUAGCAAGAAAUAUCAGAGCUUCAACCAUGUUUGGUCCUUCCCUCUCUUCAGCUUCCAUCCUCUCCAAAUCCUUUUUGUAGUAGAAUGCUGCUUCUUCAUCACGUCCAAGUGCGUGAUGCAGCUUCGCUAACUGGUUCAGGGCAAUUGCUUCACUGUCAUUACAGUUUGCUGCCCUUCUGUAACAUUUUAUUGCCUCCUCAAGCAUGUGAAGCUGUUCAGUUUCAUAACACUGAGCCAUGGCGAUCCACAAUCGAGAAUCAUUCGGCUGCAAGAAUACAGAUUUUCGAAAAUAAUGAAGAGCAUAUAAAGGCAUAUGCAUCAUCUCAUAAGCUUGUCCUAACCCAUACCAGGCUCGAUAGUCACGUGGAUUUAUAUCUACGGCCCGUCUAUAAGCAUCAAUGGCUGCUGGAGUAUUUUUCAUUUCAACAUACUCGUGUCCCAUUAGUGUCCAAGCAGACAAAUAAUUUUUGUCUAACUUGAGUGCCCUCCUAAAAUACACAACAGACUUCUCAUGCUGCCCCUUCAAACUGUAGUAGUUCCCAAUGAUGCAACAAGAUUCAGGUCUGUAUUUAUCAGUCAUAAAUACCCUGUGGGCAAGGUAACUUAGGGCAGAAAAACACUCCUUCGCAUAAAGCACAUUGGAAUACAUAUCCAUGUCGUCCACUCGAUAGGGGUCAUUUCUUAAAAGCUCUUCAAAUAUUACUUCAACUUGUUCAAAUUCCCUCAAACUGUACUGGGCUUUAGCAAUUUGAGCCUGUAUGUAAUUGCUGAAACUGAAAGUGCCUUGUAGAUAUUCAUAUUUCGUCAAGGAUUCAUUAUGCAUCCUAAGUUCUUGAUAAGCACUGGCAAGAAAGUAGUCCUUCAUCCAAUGGUUAUUGAGAUUAAGGCUGUUCAAGAUGUCAAUUGAAGUGCACAAGGACUUCAGCUCCGACCAGGCAUUCCAAUUCCAAGGGUAGCUAUUUACAGACUCCACUAAAACUGUACGAGCAAGAUUCUCAUUGCCUUUAUCUUUAAGCACAAUACCAUAUAAGUACAAACCAAAGGGAUCCACUGUCCCAUUCUUCCAAGAUGUAGAUAACUCCCUCUCCAGCGAUAUUAGUUCACGGUUCACAGCAUUACUCUUGCCUAAUGGACCCUCGAGUUCUAUCAUUUCUUCUUCCUUCCGCUUUUCUCCAGCCUUCAUUAAGCAACAAAUAGGCAAUAACAUGAACAUAAAACUCCCUAAAUAUAGCAAAACUUUUUGUAUAAUACUGAAAGUACCAAUAAAAGGCACUAGAAAAUGUACAAGUACUUACCUAAGCAAAAAAUGAUGCAUUAUGAAUGUAAGCCACUAAUAUAAGAUUACGAACUGCUCCUACAGACAGUUAAAGUCCUUUGAAAAGUAAUAUUACCUGUCCCUUUAAAUCAUAUCCUCCCCAGGUCAAAGCUAAAAUUCUUUUCUUGUUGAACAGUUUCUUCCCAACUUUAUUUAAGUUAUCAAUGCCUACAUUGUCUUUAUGCAUUUCAAGAACUUCGCAUUUAUCAAUGAAUCAUUAAUUUGCACAACCUGGCGUGGGUUCUAACGGAAAUUCCUAGUUUCUAUGGAGAACUUGUUAAACUUGUUUUGAUGACUGUUAUCCACAUGCCACAUAAACAAAGGUGAUCAUGAUGGCCUAUUUACAAAAUCCAAAUAUUUACUGAAGGUGGGUUUCUGCAUAAACUAUUUUAUCCUGAUUUAUUCAAUUUCAAUACAUGAUAAGUUUUAUUUAAAACACAACAAACAGGACAUCAAUCAUGGUAUGGUAAGUAUAAAAAGGAGCACCGAAAAAGCAGAAAUAAAAGGACCCUAGCAUCUAAGUUACAUACAUCCAAAACUUCCCCCAAAAAAAAAAAAAAAAAAAAAGAAAUUCGGGUUCACUGGAAUUAAAAAACCAUUCAAAACAAUGCUGAAGAGUACUAAUUAUACAACUUGAGGGAAUGUAAAUAGUAGGUAGAACUGAGCAAAAAAUGCUGUGCAGAUUCUAGAAUUCAGGCAGAAAAUGGUCAACAUGGGGAUUUCAGUAUAAAGCCAUGAAAUGUGAACAUAAAAAGCUUAAAGCUAAAAAGAAUGAUGCAAACCAGAUAAAGUGCAUAACAGCGCAAAAACACUGAUCUCCUUCCAGUUUGAUCACGGAGUACGUGAGCAGCCCUCCUGUACUCUCGGCAAUCAAAGUAUGACUUUGCCAAAAGGUAAAAGUCACUAUCCUCUACCUCAUCCUCUUCCAUCACAGGGGUGGACACAUAAGAGACACCAGCUACAGGUGUCGAAGUGAUGUCAUUUGUGCGGAACCUUCUACGUAUGCUUGAGCUUCCACGCUGGAAUCUCGUGUUUGUAGGUGUAUAUUUUGCCGGGUCUUGUUCGAUUCCCACCAACUGCUCUGCUGCCCUGUACAUAUAAUGGCACACAAAAACUCGUUGGUAUUAAAAUAAAAAAUAAAAUUAAACUAGUAAAUUUUCAUUCAAAAUCUUACAUUUUGGUUGCUUAUUCCAACAAAAUCUAUCUGGUCUUAAAUAAUCAUGAAUCAAUCAUUUAGCUAAAAUGUUCUCCCCUUCAAAAUUUAAGCCAACAUUAAGGUCAAAAUUUGAUUUUUUCCCCGCAUUCUCGCUCAACAUUCUCAGUGACCAAUGGAUCACCAAGGCUGUAGCUUUAUCGUUUAUUAAACAUCACAGUCGCGCUCGGAAAAGGAGAAUCAAAUAGAUGAAGCUAAAUGUUAAUUACUGAAGAUACAAAACCAAUUUUAGUACUUAAAAACAAAAAUUAAAGCAUAAAAAAAAAAAAUUAUUAUAAUAAGAAAAUGAAGUAAUUGGGGGUCUAGGGUUUUAGUACCAUUGGGCGGCAGAGUAAAGGCAUCGAUUACUGAGUUGACGAAUCGCAGAGCGGAGUUCAUUUCUACAACUUUCUUUCGAACUCAUCGAUCUGUUACUUAUUUUCUUCUAAGAAUUAAUGCUAUUUGAUCAUUAACUAACGCUAAUUUGUUAGCGAGUUCAGUCUUCUUGUUCCGCGGUUCCGCGCCCAGGUUUUUGAAUUUAGCCGAUUACUUUUGAUUUUGGUGGAUUUGGGUCAUGCCAAAUGGUCAAUAAAUAAUACUGAUUAAAAAUAAAUAAAUAAUAGUUUUUUUUCCCCUGCAUUUUUUAUUUUAAUAAUAUUAUUAGAAACUUUUAUUUUUAUUUUUACACAUUUCAUUUAAAAGAUACGAGGGUGGGAAGCUCAAUAUAUUUUCAGCCUCUUACCUCUUCCAAAUUUAAAUUCAGGUGAUUGGUUAAAAGAACGUUGUUUGAAAACUAUUUAAUUAAAUUCAUGAUGAUACAAUAAUAUUAUAAUUACAUAAUUAUAAUAUAUAAUUUAUAUCUCAAAUAAUACCUCACUCAUUAUUCAUAGACAUGUGUAGAUGAUCUUUUUUUUGAAGAAAAAUAAUAUUUUUACUAUAACGUGUGAAGAACCACACUUAUUUAUUUAAAUUCUUCAUAAUAUUUUUUAUGUGCUCUUAAAAAAAGUUUUUUUUUUAAUGUAAAAACAUGCGCUCCUUAAAAAAGUCAUUCAUUAUGAUGUAUAUAAUGAUUGAUUGAACUGGUGAAUUUUAUUACAAAGAGAUUUGGGGUUUGAUUCUUAUUCACAUAAGUGAUAAUUACAUCUUUAAUUUUAAAAAAAUGAAAUUUAUGGCUCAAGCUCAAAUCUAUUUUCUCAUGUAGUUCGCAUACCUUAACUUCAUCUCACUCUACACACGAAUACAAAUUAAUUUAUUUUUUUAAAAGAUUGGUGUCAAAGAAAAUUGAUCCUAGCUUCAAAUGCAAUGUAAUGACCAAAGCAACUAAACCAUGGCAGUAGUAAUGAAAUAAUAAUAAUAAUAACAACAACAACUAACUUAUUCUUAUAUUUUAUCUAAAGACUUUUAAUUUUUAUAAUUUAAAUAAAUAAUUUAUUUUAAUUCUCAUACUCUAUCUUAAUUAAUGUAAAAUGAACCUACAUAAAUGCAAUAGAGCAUAAAUGUUUACUUCCGAAACUUAAAUGUUUUGAUGAUGUACCGUCAUAUGAUUGGAUUCCCCAAUUGUGAACUGCGCGCCGCCUGUUUCAUAAACCACAUUGUAAUUGUACUUUUACGCCCAAUCCCAAACAAUCUCCAAAUCUUAAGAUUAAUCAUUUCUGAAUUCUUCCGUUACAAAACAAAAUUACCAACAAGUACCCUUAAUCGCAGCGCCCACGCGAGGAUAAACACGUGAUUUCUCAACCCAAAACAAGCGCGUCUAGAUCUCAAUUCAAAUUCCCGCUAUUCCAUCAGAAGCUCUCAUUUCAAAACUUUCAGGGUAAAAAAAAAAAAAAAAAAAACCUCCUUCAGAUCCCUCCUACUCAAAAUUUUACACCCCGCCAUUAGUCAACAUUCUUAACGGUCCCUCCAUUCUCCAUCCUCCAGUUCUCUCUAUAAAGUUACAUACAGUUCGCUCAAAUCCUUCACCGAUACGAUGCCGCAGUCUUCCUCUUCAACCAAAGUUCAAGAUCCUUCUUCAAGGCACUAUGCUUACAGCCGCAAACAAAAAUCCCUCGGCCUCCUCUGCUCCAAGUACUCUUUCAAUUCCUCUUUAUUAUUAUUUCCGUUUGUCUUUUUAAGUUUCUUGAUAUUUAUAUUUAUUAUUUUGUCAUUUGUAGUUUCCUGAGUUUGUAUAACCGAGAUGGUGUUGAAUCGAUCGGCCUUGACGAUGCCGCUUCGAAAUUAGGUUUUUUUUUUUUUUUUUUUUUUAAUCUCAUUCUUAGUUUUAAAUAUUUAUCUGCUAGUUUAAUAUUUUCAUGAGAUUAUAGAGGUUUUGAUUCGUUCGAUGAAUUGUAUUUGUAGGCGUCGAAAGGCGGCGAAUCUAUGAUAUCGUCAAUGUCUUGGAAAGUGUUGGAGUGAGUUUUUUUAUCUUUAAUCUUUUUCAUUUUUUAUAUUCUUUAAUUCUUUUGUGUAAUUUUUUUAACCUUUUAUUUGCUAAUUUAGGUUCUUACAAGAAGGGCGAAAAAUAAGUAUACGUGGAAGGGGUUCAAGGCAAUCCGUGGCGCUCUGCAGGAGCUCAAGGUACUUUUAAGGUUUUAAAUUGAUUUGUUUCUUAAAAAAAAAAUAUUGUGCAAUUGGAAUUUUAUAGUGAAAAUUAAUUCUGAUGUUGUUUGGUUUGAUGAAAUAAUGAUAGGAAGCAGGCCUGAGGAACGCUUUCACUACACUUGAUGGCAGCAAUAGUGCAAAAGUAGGUCAAGAUAGGGUUUACAAUGUUCUUUCUUUUUUUUUUUUGGGUAAAAGUGAAAUUCAUUCAUUUAUUUCUGUCUUAGGGUUCCGACGAUGAGGAUGAUGAUGAAGACGACGAUAGUUCAUCUAAUCCCAAUCCUGGAAGCCAAAGUGAUAGUUUAAACCUGAGAUCUGCUCAUAAAUCUUCAAAAAAUGGUAAUUAUAUAAAGAUAUAAUACUUGUUAUUGUUUUAUUUGACCAGCUUAUGCUUUGAUUAGAAGCAUUAGUGUGUACAAUUUAUUUGUCAUGUUAUUGGCAUUUGAAGUGUGCCUUUAUUUGUUGUUCGUUAUUGUGUUAAAUGAAUUUCCUAAUGCAUUGGGUCAAUAUGCUAUGGUGGUCUUUUAGUUUUGAACAAUAACGGAAAAUUGGAGUUCUGACAUUUCAUCAUUACUUUAUGGUCACACUUACAGCUUAUAUGUAUGUUUCCUUUACAGACAGUAGAAGAGAAAAGUCUCUUGGACUUCUUACACAGAAUUUUGUCAGGCUUUUUGUCUGCUCUAAUGUGAGUGAAAUCUUGAGAUUGGUUAUUCUUUUAAAAUUGUCAAUUACUUGUUAUGCAAGUGUUACUUUGUAUUGUGUUUCUUUGCAGGUGGAUAUGAUCACCCUAGAUGAAGUAGCCAAGUUAUUGCUUGGGGAUGCCCACAAUACUUCUGUAAUGAGAAGUAAGCGAAUUCUCAACUUGCUAUUCUAUUUGAAGUCUCUGUAAAUAGGAGUUAAAAAGCUCUUGUGACUGAUGUUCUCUUAACUAUAUCUGCAGCAAAAGUAAGACGGUUGUAUGACAUUGCUAAUGUCUUGUCCUCCAUGAACCUCAUUGAGAAGGUAAAUGAAAUAUCAUCCCAAAGGCUAUAAAUGAUAUAAGCUCAAAAUUAAGUUUUAAUAUUUAUUUAGAAUUUAGCUGAACUUAAUUACAUAUGGUCAUGAUUAUAUAGUCCUCUGAUAAUUUGAUCUUUUACCUUGCAGACCCAUACUGCAGACACCAGGAAGCCAGCAUUCAGGUGGUUAGGGGUAAACAGGUUGGAGAUUGGAUUAGCUGAUUCUUUGAAUCUUGAUGAAUCACGGAAGAGGACAUUUGGAACUGAUGUUACAAACAUCAGUUUCAAAAGGAAAAGAAUGGAUACUUCAAUUAAUGGGGAUAUAAGCCAAAGUAUUAAAAUGAAAAAACAAAUGAAAGUUGACGAUUUUGUAAGGGUAGUUGAUGGAAGUAAUUCAGAAAAUUAUGUGAAUCAGGGCCCAAGGAGUUACCAAUUUGGUCCUUUUGCUCCUGAAAGUGUGCCCGAAGUCAAUACCUCGAAGAAUAAUGUGAAAGGGGCACAUGAUUGGGAAAGUCUUACUUCAAAGUAUUGUCCUCAAUAUCACAAUCAAGGUAUAAUUUAAAUAUCUAAUUCAUCAAUAUUCUAUGAUUGCUAACUGUUUUGACUAUGGCAUUAAUAUGUAACAUGGCCCUGUCAUUGUAGUUGAAUCAAGUCUGUCCCAUAAAUUUCAUCAGCAAGAUCAGAAAUAGAAAAUCUAAAUUUGGUCAGCCUUUUGAUUCAUUUCUUUACUCACAUCUUAUUGUUUAAAGAGCUCACCGAAUGAAUACUGUUCGUUUCCAUAAAACAGCAUACUUAUGAGCAGUGACAAGUUUGGAAAUUUCAUGAAUAAAUAACCAUGCUCAAAAUAAUUAUGUUGGGCGGUUAAGAUUUUGCUUCUGAGACCAUGUUCAUGUCCAAAAUGGGGAAGUUUACUUGUUUUGUCUGUCAGCUGACUGUCCAUCCAUAUUGUACUCCACACACACACACACAUAAACAGAUGAUACUAACCUUUUGUUGGUUCUGUGAAUAAAUAUUUCAGCUCUCCGAGACCUUUUUUCUCAUUACAUGGAAGCCUGGCAAUCAUGGUAUACUGAAGUUGCCGGGAAGACAAUACGACAAAUUUCCUGAUCCUUCAAUUCAGUGACUUUCCUAAUGAACUCCAAAUAAUUUCAUCACAGGCAGUGCAUCGAGAUAUCACUAUUUCUCAAAGAAGAGAUGGAAACGCAGUGGAAGCACGCUCUCUUUGCUCCUACUUGGAAUGACCAUCCUCUGGAUUUAUGUAAUGCCAGCCAACACCUGUACACACUUAUCCGGUGUGUUAAUUCAUUGGAUUGUUUCUGUCUUGCUAAUUGUUAUAUACUUGCAUCUUGUUCUUUCUACUGAUUUCCAAGCAGACACUGAAUGCGCAAUAUCGUGCCACAUUUUUUUUUCCUUAAUUUAUAACAAGUGUGACCAGGGUCAAUAAUGACUAAUAGUACUUUGCCAUAUAGGUACAAGGACAAAGCCUUUCUUUUUUUUUUUUAAUAAAAAGUGGGUAUUAUAUUUUAGAGAUUAAAAUUAAGAGAUAACACUAAGCUAGUACGAGGUCAGGUUUAAAUAUAAUAUAUAGAAUAAUGUUCAAGAUUUAAGCUUAAGUUAGAGAGUAUUUAACCACAAGAAUAUCUAACUCUAACCACAGAUAAUUAGAAAUAUAAAUUUUUAAGAACUGAAAAGAGAUUAAAUGGCUUCAUGGCUUCAUAGAUUGAUUCUGAUGAAAUGUAGAGGAAUUUUAACGGCACUGGCCUAGUCUAUCAAUCUCAACUAUUACAAGCGAAAAUCCUUGUGCAAUUAAAACAAUGACAAAACUACAACACAAGAAUAUCAUAGCAACAAAACAAUAUAUAAACACUAAAAAAUGUGUAUAUGUACAUGUAUAUGUACACACACACAUAUAUAUAUAUACAGGCCUCCGCCCUAAGCUAUAGAAUCUCGAUGCACCAAUUGAUAUAUCAUUUGAUUAAUUAUAUUAUUGAUGAUGCAAAAGUAUAAAAAGAAUCAAAUGAUGAUAGUGUACUGUAUGUAAUAUUUAAUUUAUUUAAAUUAUUUGUUCAUUAAACUCGAAUUCAUUUAUGGUGCAUUUGGCAGCAUAAAUUACCCUAAAUUGUAUUGCAUUAAAACAAUAUUCUUAUACCAACACAUUUGGCCAUAAUUUUUUAGUUCUAUUGCGUUGCAUUAAAAAGGUAACUAAUAUAAUUAAAGGCGCAUAAAAUUAACCUAUGGAAAGUAGGUUUAAGUUGUAUUGCGUUGAAACACGGUUCAUAUUUUAAGUACAACCAUUUAACUUUUAUUAUUCAUAAAGUAUAGUAAAUUUAAUUUUGUUAAACAUUAUUUUAUAUAUAUUAAAUUUUUAUCAAUUAAAUUUUUAUAUAAUUAAAUAUUAAUUUAAUUUAAAUAAUAAUAUAAAUUAUUAGUUAGCCUAAAUAUUUAAUAAAUAAAUGAUAAUACAUUAUUUUACUUUCAUUACAUAAACUCACUUUAAUUAUUUUACUUAAAUAUGUAAAAAGUAUUUAAUUUUAUUUAUAAUUUAUUAUUUGCUAAAAUACUAAAUUUAAAUUAAACAACUAUAUUCGACAUUACUAAAAUGAAAACAAAUUCAUAACCUAAUAUUAUAAUGUUAAUAUAAUAUAAUUUUAUGUUAUAUUAUAUAAUUUUAAAUUAUACUCUAUUAUUAUAACUAAUAUAUAGAAAUAAAUUAUAUUAUAAUUUAUUAAUAUUAUUACAGUAUUUUAUAUUUUAUAAUGGUAUAUUGUUAAUCAUUUUAUAAUAUAAAAAUAAUAAUAAUAAGUUUAAUAAUAAAACCUAUUAAGAAAUUUUUAAUUUAUUUAUAAUAUUAAUAAUAAAAUGAUAAUAUUUUAAUUUUAUAUAAUGUCGUCUAUAUUACACAAAAUAUAUAUUGAAUUACAAUUUAAUAUAAUAUAUCCUAAUAAAUGCACCACAAAUACAAUACAGUACGUGAGAUGCACCCUCAAGGACUAUUUGAUCUGGCAUUUUAUAUAGGCAAUCAUUUCAUGUACUUGGGAAAUUUCCGUACUUGAAAAAUUUACAAAAAUAGCCAUAAAAUUUUAGCGUUUUUCAAUUUUAACCCCUUAAAGUUUUUUCUAUCAUAACUAGUCAAACACCCUAUUUUUGGAUUACAUUACCCUCAUCACUUUCAUCAAAUUUACAAAGGCAUGCCACUUUUCCCUUUUCAAUUCCAGCACUAUUAAACCUUAGCUCAACAACUUUUAAUCAAUUGAUUUUAUCAUUUGAGUUCGAAAUUGAAGUGAGUUUUUAUUACAAACGUUGUUAUUUUUCAUUAAAAAAACAAUGUGACUUGUUAAAGUGGUUAGUUUAAGUUGAGAAAUGAAUAUCAAUAAUUGAAACUCCUGAAAAAUCGAGCAAAACAGAAGUCCAGAACAAGUGAGACAGGCACAUGUCAUACUUGCAUGUCUUACCAAAAUAUAUGCGACAGGCAAGUGGGACAAGCGCCUAUCGCACAUAUAAAGCCACUGGUUUUAUGUAAGACAGGCGUCUGUCUCACUUGUUCAUACUGAUUUUAUGUGAGACAGGCACCUGUCACACUGCCUGUCUCACUAAAUAUCAGCUUUUUUUCGAAAGUAAUAACUUAGGGUACAUGUGUCCGUUUUAGGCGUAUAAUAUAUUGUUUUGAAGCAUACGAUGAGACGAAGCAAAUCCAAAAUUGUAUACUUCAUUUCAUCCACAUAAAUGUACUGCAUAUUCACUUUACUAGGUUUUGUAGCGUGAAAUCUUAUCUCUUAUCUUGAAUAACUCAGCAUUCGUGUUAAGAAAUCCAAAAAAUCUCAAGAACUAAUUUUUGUUUCAAAUUAGGAAGCAAGAAAUUGCAGAUAUCAAUUUUCUCCAGUAGCAAUAAUAAAAUAAAAUAAAACAACUAAUCUUUUAAGGGAUGUGUACAUAGCAUCAUAAAAAUAGAACGUAGACUGUAAAUUAUAUGAUAUUGAUAAUACACAAACACAGUACAAUAUAGAUAUUGCACUAACUUAAGGUUUGGACUUGUGCAAAUCAUAAAAUGGAUUACCAAAAUCCACAUUGUAUUACAUAUAUUGCUCUUUGAGGUCCAAGGGAUUCUGAAUAUAAAUAUUCAGCUAGCAUAACAUGAAGCUCCGGGGACCCAGUUUUAGGAGCUCCAAACUCUAUAGACCACCUGAAAAACAAAAGAACUAUAAGUUGGGAGCAGUUAACACUCUAACAAUACACAGAAAGCAAACAUUUCCAUAUAUACAAAGAGCAUGGACACAUCCCCAACACUUCAACUUCAUUCUCUUCUUUGCUCUCUCUUUAAAAAGCUUUAUUGUGAACUUAUAUCCCCUCUCUCCUCUUCCAUUGUCCUUUCCUUCAACUGUCACACUUUAUUCAUUGUCUUAUCACUAGGGGCAUAACCUAAAAGUGCGUGCAAAGCAAAUGACCUACAAGCUAAAUAAUCUAUCAUCAGUGGAUAUAAUGUCAAAAUGUUGCUGUGAAAAAACUUACCAUGUGCUGAAAUUUUGAGGUCGUGAAUGAUAUUACAUUAUUUAUAUUCACAACUGAACAUCAAAUGCCUGCCUGCAAAUGCUUUGUCAUUCUGCUUUCAAGCUACAACACUAAGAUUCACCUUUUAACUAUAGAUUUAAUUACAAAAAUGACAAGGGAAAAAGGAAAAAAUCAUAAUUGAAACAAGCAUUGCCUCAUCAUAAUGUUGGAAGCAUAGUAUAAAAGGGACUAACUUCUGGGCACAUGCAGGGAUAAUUCCAACUAAAUUAUUCUUAUAAAAUUUUGCUAUUGAUGUGGCUACUAAAUUAUUAGUGACAAUAAGAAGAAGAAAAAGCAAGUUAUAUCCAUGCUUAAGAAAUCACAACAUCCACCAAAAGCAAAAAGUCCAAUAAUACAAUAAGGCAAUGAUUUCUCACUUAAUAGCAGCCUUUAAGAAUGAUGAGCAGCCCUCUACACGCAAUUUUGCUGCACCAAGCACCAAGCACCAAGUGCGCUGUCUCUUGGUGCGACAGGCACCAAGAGGCAGCACCAAGCGCGCGCAAGUUGCGCGCAGGCUGGCACACGCAGCAGCGCGCAGCAUGCGCAUCUCGCGCACGUGAGGAUGCCGCGCCCAUCUCGCGUGCGACAGCCACGGCCUCGCUCACAGGAUGCUCCCCUUCACUUCCCUUUCCCUUCCCUUUCUCUUCCCUUCCAUUUCCCACAUGCAUCUCACCCACCACCCCCAUUAAACACCAACAACAACAACAACAACCCAAACAACAACAACAACAACUCACCUAGGGUUUCCAAUUUUUGUCUUUGAUUUUGGAGAUCUCCGAAGAUUUUCAACGUGAUUUAGCUUAUUUCAGCCGUCGAUCUACGUCGCCGACGAUGUAUACGGGAUUCCAGUGAUGAAAUUUUUUGUGAGAGGGGGAGGAAUUUGCUUGAGGGAAACGUGAGAAUGAGGAGGGUAAUUUCGUCCACAAUUUGGUGAUUUGGCUAAUGUUGGUAGAAAAAAUUUGGGGGGGUUAAAGUUGAAAAACGCUUAAUUUUUUUGGCUAUUUUUGUAAAUUUCCCGUACUUAAUUCGCUCAUUUGUAAUUUGAUUGAUGUUAUUUUUAUAAUUUUAUAUAUAGUUCAGCUAUGUGAAAUGAAUACGUGAAAUAUGACGCGCCAUUACUAUCUGGCCGUUUAGUUUUAGUUUUAUAUCAUGAGAUUGGAUAAUUUUAGUAUAAAAUAAUUCUUAUGUCAUGUUUGGUGUAAAAAAAAUAAAGGUACGAUAACAAUAAUAGACCCAUUACUUAAUUCCAAUAGUGGCAAAUUUUCAUCCUAAGGGAUCCUGGGAUUACAUUUUUUAAGUCAAAACUUUGUCCUUUACUAUUCAUGAAAUUAAAAACUAUAACAUAUUAAAUAUUAAAAAAAUUAAGGGAAGAUUUUGCUUUUUUUUUUAAUAUAAAUUUACCAAUAAUUAUUAAUUUAAGUUAGAUUAUAUUACAUGUCAUUUUAAAAUAAAUAUAAGAUGAUUUUAAUAAAAUAAUAUAUAAGACAUAUUAUUAGUUAUUAGCUAAUCUCAUGGCAUACCAAACACGAGAUAUAAUUAUUUAUAGUUUAAUAUAAUAUUGCACCAAACACCACAUAAAAUUAUAUAUAAUUCAAUUAUAUCUUAUCUCAUUCAAUCUAAUCCAACCCAAUUCAAUUUGGUAUACUAAACUAGCCCUUUGUAUAUUAUUAUUAUAUUAACAAUAAAAAGAGUUAAUAUAAAAAUAUUGUUGUAAUUUUUGUACGCGUGACUGAUAACUGAUUUUGGUGAAAAAGGUGAAAAAAAAAAAAUAUUAGAGAUGGAGCUUUUGAAAAAGGCCGAACUAGCCAAGUAGCCAAAAAUGUGAGCUCAAAUGUUCGCAUUGCUUCGAAAACCUCCAAAAAAUCACUUACACUUCUUCUGUAUUUACCGAGGUCUUUCGCCUCUCACCACCACCUCACCGGCACCGUUACCACCGGCAGCUGCCGACCCAGCCGCCUUAGCCAGCCUCAUACUGACCUCUACCGACCCACGUACCCUAACCCAGACCCUCCACUGCCCCAGUCUCCAUUGGACCCCACAACUCGUCGACCAAAUCAUCAAACGCCUCUGGAACCAUGCCCUCAAAGCCCUCCACUUCUUCAAUAUCCUCUCCUACCACCCAACUUACGCUCACUCCCCCUCCUCCUUUGACCACGCCAUUGACCUCGCCGCCCGCCUGCGCGAUUACAGGACCGUAUGGACCCUCGUGCACCGUAUGAAAUCCCUCAGCCUUGGCCCCACCCAGAAAACAUUCGCAAUCAUCGCCGAAAGGUAUGUCUCUGCUGGGAAAGCUGAUAGAGCUGUCAAGAUUUUCUUGUCAAUGCAUGAACAUGGUUGUCGGCAAAGCUUGAAUUCUUUUAAUACCAUUCUUGAUCUGUUGUGUAAAGAGAAAAAAGUCGAAAAGGCUUAUAAUUUGUUUAAGGUUUUUAGGGGGAAAUUUAAGGCCGAUGUUAUUAGUUAUAAUGUGAUUGCAAAUGGGUGGUGUUUAGUUAAGAGGACUAACAAGGCCUUGGAGGUUUUGAAGGAGAUGGUUGAUAGAGGAUUGAACCCGAAUUUGACAACUUAUAAUAUAGUACUUAAAGGGUAUUUUAGAGCUGGUCAAAUUGAGGAAGCGUGGAGGUUCUUUUUGGAGAUGAAGAAGAGGAAAUGUGAAAUUGAUGUUGUUACUUAUACUACAAUUGUUCAUGGGUUUGGAGUUGUGGGUGAGAUUAAGAGAGCUCGAAAUGUUUUUGAUGGGAUGGUCAACGGUGGUGUGCUUCCAUCAGUUGCAACUUAUAACGCCAUGAUUCAGGUUUUGUGUAAGAAGGACUCUGUGGAGAAUGCUAUAUUGGUUUUUGAGGAGAUGGUGAGGAAGGGUUAUAUGCCCAACUCAACAACUUAUAAUGUGGUUAUUAGAGGGUUGUGUCACGCAGGCGAAAUGGAAAGAGCCUUGGAAUUUGUGGGAAGAAUGAAGGAUGAUGAGUGUGAGCCAAAUGUGCAGACUUACAAUAUUUUGAUCCGAUAUUUUUGUGAUGCUGGAGAGAUUGAAAGGGGUUUGGAGUUGUUUGAGAAGAUGGGUAGUGGGGUUUGCUUGCCAAAUUUAGAUACGUACAAUAUUUUAAUUAGUUCAAUGUUUGUGAGGAAGAAAUCAGAUGAUUUGCUGGUGGCUGGGAAGUUGUUGAUUGAAAUGGUUGAUAGAGGAUUCAUGCCAAGGAAGUUCACUUUCAAUCGAGUUUUGAAUGGGCUUCUACUAAUGGGUAAUCAAGGUCUAGCCAAAGAGAUUCUGAGAUUGCAGAGCAGAUGUGGCCGUCUUCCUCGCCAAUUCAAACUUUGAGGUCAAUCAGUAUUCACAUUUGCUCAUGAACCAAGUCCGUUUGGGAUUCUGUGCCGCUCAGAGGACUGCUUGCCAUUUGAAUUUGCUGUGAUGUGCUAGUUCAGUAGGCACUUGAGUAUUGGGUUUUACUGCUUACUUCUCAAAGCAGUUGAGAGAAUGAAUACUAUUACGAGGGUAGUGAUAGAGGGGACUUUGAAAGUCUGAAGACUCUCCAGAUUCUGGUGGAGGCACCACAUCAUCUUCCAAUGGUUUUGGAAAAAAAAUAAAAUAAAGUACCAUUCUGCGUAGCAGCACUGGAUAUUGAGUGAUGUUGAUGUCAUGGUUUCAAUCAAGUCAUGAGGUUUGCCUGCAUUCUUCCUUCUUUGCCAUUUUGUGUUACUAUGAUUAUCACCACCGAUUUGAAAAAUGAUGUCUGCAUCAUUUAGGUAUGAGAAACUGUCGCUUAUUGUCACUCUUUUUCCUUUUUGUGUGUGUUUGGAAUCCACAUUGCUCUAAUACUUGAGUAUGAUCAUAGCAUGUUUCAAAUUUAAUGCACUGAAUUGCUGUCAUAGUCAGUUUGCAUUAUCUUCUUUGGAUAAGGGCUGCUUUUAAAUAAUUCUUGAUGAGUAUCAAAACUUCUGACUCAACUUUUUAUAAUUGUUGUUCAUAUUAACAACAUUAUACAUGUUCCCAAUAAGAAAAGGCAUAUGUGGCCCAUGAUAGUGGCAGCUGGUUUUUCUGCAAGCUAAACAGUGCUAUUAAGUUGUCUUUUAAAUGUCUGUGGCAUUGUCUAUGUUCCAAUGUAACUUAGAUUCUAAAAUUUUGCACACAUUCUAAUGGAACGGUUUGAUAUGACCUUGGCUAUGCAGUGGUUAUUGCCUUAAUCCUUGGAGGAGGGAACUAAAGGCUACCAAAUGCAUCAUUUGAUGCCUGCGGCAUUGAUCUCAAUUGUCUAUGUGCCAAUUUGACUAAAAUUUUUCACACAUUCUAAUGGAACGAUUUGAUAUGACCUUUGAUAUGCAGUGGUUAUUGCCUUAAUCCUUGGAGUGAGGGCACUAAAGGCUACCAAAUGCAUCAUUUGAUACCUGACCUCGCUUAUCUCUAUAUCCUUGGAACAUACACAUGGAAGCAUGCGCCAGUAGAAGGGGCGUUGACAACCCACCUCACUAUGAAAUGAGAUGGGGGUGUGUGUGUGUGUAAAAUACAUCCUACUCGGUUGAGUCUGUUAUCAUGUAAUAAACUCAAAUUAUAUAUUGCUUUCAAUUAGAUAAGCAAUUUUAUUAUGUUGACAUAGUUCCUUGCUUCUAUCAUCUGACCAAUUGCAUGUUCUGUUGUCUAAUACAAAAUAUUUAUCUCUAGUAUCACUUAUUUGUUUUGAAUUAGCAUCCUGAGACAUUACUGUCCUAAUGCGCAUUACUGAUGUCAUUCAGAGUGGUAUUUAAAAAAAAGCUAGAUGAUGCCAGCAAGAUCUCUGCAUUAAUCUUUACUUGAGAGAUUAAGCUAAAACAUUGAAGUUUCAAAGAGGCACUGAUCACAGAAUUCAUUGUCACCCAUCGUCUUAAAAUGAUUCUUUCGACUUUUGCUACGCUCCUGGCUAGAAAACUCUUUCCAGAUUUCACAUAAGUAGCCAAUAGUCAAAAAUUUUAUUCCAACAGCCAAAUCUCAAUUUACAAAUGGGUGCUGAACUAUUUUAAAUUUAAAUGUCGGUGUUUCUACUUGAAAUUUGGAAAACAGUAAAAAGAGAAAUCAUGACAAUAAAUCAAUAAUAAAGGGAAAUACACGGAGAGCCCAAAAGUAACCUUUGGUGUGGGAUAUGUGGAGCUCUAUCAUAGGAUAAUUUCCUGAUGAACACUAACAUUGAGUGUUUUGUUUGGAAGGACAAUGCUGUUAGUCACAACUACUUCAUCUUCAACACCCACAGCCUCACCUAGAACAGACAUUUAUAAUAUAAGUCAGAUUGCAAACAACUUUAUACUUCAAAUAAAAAAAUUGAAAAGUUAAGGGAAGGAGGGGGAAAAUGCAUCAUGAAGGUACCAAGGAUUGUGAUCCCGAGUUUAGCAUUGAAAUCUCCUUCAGCCUGUAAUCCGUUGAUCAGACACAUAAAAUGAUUUGGCACAUUCAGCAGAACUUAGGAUAAAUAAACAGGGAAAAAAUGAAAAGAAAACAAAAAGUGCUCCCUUUUCCUUCCACCACUAGGGACAGAAAGAGGAACUAUCAGAAAACAUCUCCUUUUGCAAACUUACCAUCAAUACAUCUACAUUGUCUCAUUACUUGAUAAUCUCAUAAAUCAAAAUCACAUUAAGUAAUUGUAUUUAGAACUUGCCUGAACACGGGACCAUCUACCAAUAGAAGACUUCCACCCAACAAUUGCAUUAGUAACAACUGCAUUUUCCUGAGAAAGUGAUUUACACAUGUCAAGCUUAACAUAAACAGAGGGUUCGAAUUUGCUGGGUUGGAUAGGCAGGGUUUCAAAUCAUAGAAAUUGCUUAAUUACCAUGAUCUCAACUCCGUCAAGUAUGAUGCAACUAAUGAGCCUUACGCCUGCUCCUAUACGAGCAUUGGCAGAAAUUGAGACAUUGGGACCAAUCUGUUUUCAUGCAUUGCAGACAAGUCAGUUCUAUAGUUAAGGUAAAGAUAAAAAAUGAAGGAAAACAAAGGACAAUGUGUAAAAUGGAAGAAGGUGGUUCUCAAUUCACUAUUCAGCUCAGUGCAGUAAUAAAGUAAUAAUUUGGAGACUAGGAAGGAAGAUGGACAAUGGCAGAAAAGAAGAGGAAAAUGAGAACUGCGUUAUGUUAUAGUUUUAGUGCCUGGAUACCAUUUCCAGACAACAUUUUUGGGCUGUAUGCCACAAGAAAGUUAUUUCUGUUAGUAUUCAAACUGAUGCUUGUCUAGUAAAGCACUGUCUCCAGCAAUGCUUUACUAUACGCGCAUAACUUAACCCGGGAAGUAAUGAAAGAAAAUACCUUCGCAGUUGGAUGUAUUUUUGCUGAUGGAUGAACAUAAACAUCACCAAUUAUAGUGGCAUUCUUGGUACCAUCUCCGCUAGCCAAAAGAUUGGGAGAGGUAAGCCGGAAUUGGGCAAGAUACAAGCCAGAGCAUUUCAGAGACAUGCUGCAUGUACAAAUAAAAAGAUCAGAUCCUACUUAAGGAGUAAAAGAUCUUUAUUCUCUGUUCUAAUUUCAUUCUGUUUUGUUGGUUUUCUUCAUUCAAUUUGGUUUGUUUACCAUGCUUUAUUUGGCAAGGGAUUUUUUGAGGGUUAGUUAUGUUAAAUGAUAUGCUUACCCAGGAGUUUUAAUUUGUUCCCAGAAAUCCAUGGUUUCAUAAGUGUAUAACUGCUUCUUUCCUGCAAGAGGUGACAGGAUAUCUUGAUCCAACCUUACGAAAUCGGUAGUAAGAUUCCUGUGAAUGACCUCAUGUUAUCAUGGAUAGAGAAAAAAAAAAUCUAUUUAUGAUAAAAAAAAAAUAAAAAUCAAGCUAAGAAUUAGCAGGAAUGAUUUACCUAGUAGCUGACUGAAGCGCUUCAAAGCUGGAUACACGUCUCAGAUUUUCUGCGAGUGACAAGAAAGAACUUGGUUUUUAACAUGAUAAAAUCAAUACCAUAUGUAAAAUGAGGGACAAAGAAAGAGCGGAAAAACAGAGUAAAUUUCAUAUCAAAAAUCAAAUUUUAAUAGCCUGAAGUUCUUGAACGGCACAAAUUUAAAUAUAUUAAUUCCUUGUUUAUAAUUAACUUGGAUGAUAAAAGGCUAUGCCUGUGCAUUAAAGCCUGCAAAACUAACAAAACCAUCAUUUACAUUUUUAUCACUCUCCAGCAUCCUACCGACAGAAUCCUGUAUUACUGACCUCUGUCUUUCCGCUGUGAAGAAACACCCUGGAUAGCAUUAAAGAUAUCUGGUGUAAAUACGUACACACCACAAUUUAUUAGGUCACUUACCUGCAUUACAACAUAACUAUUAUAACACUUGAGAUAAAAUAGGUAGAGUCAAAAGUAUAGGAGAGCAGGGCAGGAAACUGUUUGAAAAUUUAUCAAUCAUUCCAAGCAAUAUCAAAGGAUAUUUAACAUGUUAAACAGCAGUUAGAUCUCUGAGCUUAUACAUACAAAAGUUUCAGGUUUCUCCGUGUAAUGCAACAAUUCAUUGGUAUCUGGAUCAGCUACCAAUUCACCAAACUGGCUGGCUGACUCAGCAGAAACCUGUGUAAUAAGAGAAAAAAGAAUCCAAAAAUGAAGAUAAAAGAAAAGUUAACAACUAUAUAAACAUCUUAUGCAUGUCCUGACUAACCUUAAUAACGAGUAUAGUUCCCAUCCCACCAUAAUUUCUAUGAGCAUCUGAAAUAUUAAAGAGAAAAGGCAAAUAAGGCUUCCGGAGAACAUAAAUGAGCCUUGCCCAGUCUUAAAAUUACUGGCUUCUUGCUUGCUCAUGCAAAAGAUUCAAGAAAAAGGAACUAAUUGGACAAUUUUGAAAUUUGAACGGAGAAUGCAAAGGAAAUCAAGUCUCAGAAUAAAGAAUAUAAUUACCAAGCAUCUCUGGCAGUGGAAAACUGCAGCAGACAUCGCAAUUCAGCAAGAAGAUAUGAGACUGAAGCAAAAUAAAAUACACGUUACCAAUAACAUUAUAACACAAACAAUAAUAAGACAACUGUUAUAUGCUAAAUGCAUUAGAAUCAAUAUAUGCAGUUGACAUACUUAAUAUUAAAGGGACAGGAGGUAGAAAUAGAAAUGUUUGUGAAGUAAGAAAAAUUUAGACAAAAGAGCAUGCCUAUGCAAAAUUAAAAGGCAAAGAUAGUAACCGGGUUGUCUUCCAUGAUCAGAUCUCUGAAGUUGUAAAGUGCACCAGCUGAACCAUGAGGCUUGUCCUCCCUCAAAUAUCUAACAAUAACAUUUCAUCAAGAACAAGAGUGAGCACCAAGAUUGAACAGUCCAAAUGGAAAUUGGGCAGACAACCAGAACUAAGAGGGAAUUACCUGACAGGGAUUCUAAGCUCAUUGGAGAUUGAGGAGACAUACAAUGCAAAUUCACGCUCCUCAUAGAAUCCAACAAGAUAGAUCUGUGCCAGGUUUGGAAUCUACAACAGAACAAGCAAAUAUCAAUUAUCAAGCACUCCUCAAAUUUGAAAGUAACAAUUUGUAAAGGAAGGAUCCAAGAAUAUACAUACUCUUUUACAGGCAGAAAUUGGGUGAUGAACCAUUGGCUGUCCGCCUAAAGGGAAAAGAGGCUUUGGAAUAUUCAGUGACAAUGGCCGGAAUCGAGUACCUAUUGCAUCAAAAAUCAAAAUUCGCAACACCAAUCAAGCUAUCAAUCAAUCAUCAAUUAAAGCAAAAAAAAGCAUCCCAUAAUUUGUUGUAAAUGAAACAGAACAAAUAAACAAAUUGCAUUUACCUUUAGUGGGACCACCCACCAUGAUCACGGCCACCACCUUAUCAUCCUCCGAGCUCCCCAUCUCCAGUCAACACAAACCCAGAUCUCUCAAAAUCUGAAACAAUUCAACUCAAAUCUUCAAAAACGACGACAAUGUGAGUUCAGUGUCAGAAGCGAAAGAUUGAGAAAUUUAUCCGAUUCUUCUUCUACUGGGUCCACUUUAGUACAGUAUGACCCAAAGAUAUCGCUACUUAUUAUAGCGGUAUCCGUGUGCGUAUUCGUUAUUGCAAGGAUUGUGAACACUGAAGCUGAACGUGGUUCAACAAAAUAGAUAAAUGUCGGUGAAGAAAUUGUUAAGGGAAAAAAAAAAAAAAAAACAAAGGUGGUACGAAAUGCGAUUAGUUACAGUUUGGUUUCCGAUAAGUACGCUGAAGAAGCAAAGACAACCAAAGAAGUUUCCGCGUGAGUUUCCUCACACAGACAUUUGGUGGUGGGGCCCGCUUCAAUCUCGUUUGGACGUACGCCAUCUUUUUACUACUAGACGACAGUGACAUUUUUGCUUGUUAUCUGAAAUAUAAUUACAAAAACGUAUUGAGCCAUGCCAUGCCAUUAUGUUGUUAAUUAGAGUUUCAUCACUUUCACCCCAUCUUCGUGUAAUAUUAUUAUAAAUGGUUGGGCCCUUACUAAUACUUUAAUAAAGAGAAUUUGAAUGAUCCGUCAAGAUUUUUGUGCCCUGUGCCCAAGGAUCGUUAACAUUCGUUAUCUUGGUGAAAAGGGCCGGCAAAAAGAAUAUCCUCAGGAUUCAGCAACUAACACCUCAAAUUCUGAGACUCGGACUUUGGUUCGGAUCCUGAAUCCAUCGCAUAUUCUUAAAUUCAGUUUUAUAUUUCUCAAGCUGCGCACAUGAUCAAACACCUGUUUUGCUCGUGAAGCUAGCUUCAGCCCAUCAGUCACCCAGCUCAUUUCGAGCUGGCAAGUCAGUAUGCGCGGAGCAUUUUAAGAACCUUUGCUUCCAGUUUAAGAAGCGAAAAAGGUAACUGUAAAUGUCGAGAAAGAUUGAUGGUGUUCCCCCCUUAACCACGUGAAGAGAUGCAUCAUGGCCUUAAUUGUUACUAAAAGGCUAUAAGUUUGCUGCUUAAGGCAAAAUGGACCAAAAUGAUCUGUUGACGUGGGUUUUCUCUGCAAUAGUUAAAUUUUAAUCAUUUACUCACUAAUAAACAUGUGAAACAAGAUCUCCAAAAUCUGACGAGAACUAAGAAUCUAAUUCCAGGCUAAAGAGCCUGAAACCAUGAUUAAACUCCAAGAGUGUCUGGGAAUAUGGUUUUACAACCAAUGGAAGCCGAAGAUAUCCCACAAGGGAAAUACAACAUGGCUAAGGGAAUAAACUAUUCUGAAGUGUUUCUGUCAUUUUACAUUACUUAUUAUUAUUGCAUAGUCUUAGCACAUAGCUUCAGUACAGUACGUCUCUCACAUUAUUAUCUGUGUUUUGCUUCAUCCGCAAUUUCUCAUUUUCAUUUCACAGCUUUGAAGGAGACUUGUACCAUCCCCAUGGCUCAUCUGAGACAUACUGAGUGACCUGCUUCACGCUCAAGUAAUUAUCAAGUCCCCUGUUCAAAAGGCAGCCAAAUAGAAUAACACAAAAUCAGUAUCAGCAGACAACUAAAUACUAAUUUGACAUAUCGUAAACAAUUAAAGAUUCAAAAUACUUAUAUUUUGAGACGUUUUCUUUUAUAUUGUAUACAUGAGAAAUACAAAUUCUCCGCAGUUACUCGAUAGGUCAAGAUUAAUUUAUUAUUAUUAUUUGGUGGGAAAACAGGCCAUACCAUUCUCCUAAUUCACGGCCAAAACCACUAUGUUUUUUGCCUCCCCAUGGAGCUUGAGAGAAGCAUGGCUGUGAGCAGUUGAUCCAUACAAUGCCUGCUUGGAAAGCCUGCAGAAGGCCAACCAACGAAAACAGUUAAAAUAUACAUUCUAUAAACUGAUUCAUGACAAUGAUUAUUUGCAUUUGUAUGUGCAAAUGUCACUCCAGGACAAGUCUCACCUUGCUUACACGAUCACACCUUUCCAAAUCCUUGGAUAUCACAGCAGCACCCAAGCCAUAACUGUGGACAAUCAAUAUAUUGUCAGAGCAGAACUGUUAAAACAAAAGGAUAAAUAAAAAGAGCCAAUUUAUCUUUUCAUUUCUAAUUUUCCAGUAACUGAAUCAACUUACCGGGUGUCAUUUGCCAAUUCAAUGGCUUCAUCUUCUGUGGAAAAUGCCUUGACACACAAAACAGGUCCAAAAACUUCUUCUCUCCAAAUUUGCAUUGAUGUAGCUAUGUCAGUUAUGACGGUUGGUUCUACGAAGAAUCCCUUCUUCAGAUGCUGCCAAUCAUUUAAGGACUGGCUCAGUAUCAUGAAUUAUUGAGAAAGACCAGAGUGCCAACAGUGACAGGUUGUGGACAAUACCUCAGGACAAGCACCACCGCACAAAAUGGUUGCACCUUCGCUCUUGGCAUUUGAAAUGAACUUCAAAACUUUCUCAUACUGCAGCAGAUUAAGUAUAUAUUAGAAAGCACAUUCUUUAUUCAAAUUUACAGUCAAUAAUUUAAAUCAAAUUUGCUAUUAAAGUUACCGCAAAAAAUGCAACAGCCUAAUCAUGGACCCAUUCCAAGCAAAGAGAGAGCAUUCACAUAUUGUUAUGGAAAAUGAGUGCUAGUGCAGAUUAUGUUUAGAGAUAUUUAUUUUGCAAAAAACCUAAACAAAAAACCAAAUCUAAGAGAAAUAGCUGAAAGAAACAUUAAGGAAAAAAAUUUCUCUACAGUGUUCCUGUUCAAAAUUGCAACCUUACCUGCCCUCCGCUAACAACAGGACCAAGUCUGCAACCUUCUUCCAGUGGAUCCGAAAUCUUAAUGUUUUUGAUCCACUUCACCAUCCUCUCUAAAAAUUCUGCUGCAAUGCUUUCCUGCAACAUUGUAAGCAAUAAGGAUCCCUGUUUACGACACCUCAAGCAACUGAAAACGUCAGACAAAACACCUUCUCUACUAUUUCCCUGCUUCACUGUUAUAUUUAAGCCUGGGAAUCUAUACUUCCAUUUCUGUUCUGCUUCUAGAUAAAGUAAGCAGAAGUGCAAUCAUCAAAACACCACUCUUCUAGCCUUCUAACUUUAGAUAAAUGAAUUUACGCCUGAGGUGACGCUGGCCCUGCCAGCUGAAAGCUUAAACUGCAGAACCAAGCAACACUAAAAUGAUUCUAUAUAUAUAUAUAUAUAUAUAUAUAUAUAUAUAUUGGAAUGUUAAUCUUGAUCAGUAGGACUUGAACACCUAUGUUCGACAUUUUUAUCUGCUUUACUUGUCUGUUUUCUCUCUACGUUGCUGCAGCAUAUAAAUGUUUGAUCUAGCUUGUGGUCUGCUCUAAUAGUUUUACAUGUGGUCUAACAGUAUACAAGCUGAUUUUAGGUUAUAAAUCUGAGAAGCAAAUGCUGGUUGAUUUACUUCUGGUUGAGGCCGGUCCAAACACAGAGACAAAGGGAGGGGGAUGGAUAGAGUAGACUAAUUUUGAUGAAAUUGAUAAAUUAAAAUGGACAACUAACAGACAACUAUGUACUUACGUGCACAAGAAGGCGAGAUGUUGCACUACAGAUCUGACCAUUUGUCCAAAAGCAACCAAAGAUGGUCCACUCAACCGCUGUUUAAAUCAUAGAGUAAAUUGAUAUCAGUAUCAACAACCGCAAUAGAUAUUUUUAUUAUACAAUUGUUUUCAGAAGCCUGAAAUUCUCUUGGCAACUAUUUUCUUGCAAGGGGAAUUCAACAAUAUGAGAAGCAUGGAAAAUCCCAAUGCUUUGUAAUUUCCAAAAACACUAACCUUUAUCUAGAUCAACAUCCUCAAACACAAUGAUUGGACUUUUUCCUCCCAGCUCCAAAGAAACAGGCUGCAAAGAAAUCAUAUACGAUUUUUUUUUUUAAAAAAACAGAGAUGGUAAAUUGAAAAGGGCAAAAAAAAGAAAACACAAGGAGAGAAGAUGCCACACACAAAAUUUUACCGUCUUAAACCCUACAGGUAUUAAAAAGGCUUUACAAGAGAGUAAUCAUAUGAAGAUAUAAUAUAGAUGAUCUGUCGCAUGCAUGUGAACUACGCAUGGAUCAACAAGGGAGCACAAAUGCCAGGAAAGACUAACAAUAAUUCGAUUAUAGUACUUUGACAUACCUUGACCAUCGGAGCUGCAGCUGCCAUUAUCCUGCUCCCUGUUGCAUUGCUUCCAGUAAAUGCAAUCUGUUAUGAUCAAAUACAUUAGCAGCUAUGGAUGGUAAAUUUCCAACCCAAAAUUCAGGCCAUUGUAAAAUCUAAGGGAUUUUAUAUAAAGAUUCAAAUUUGUAGAAAAGGCAAUGAAAAAAAUGAUGAAGACAAUUGAACCUUGUCGACAUGGGGAUGGGAUACCAAAGGAGCCCCAGCUUCAGGACCCAAUCCGGUGACAAUAUUAAGAACGCCAGGAGGAAGACCCACCUCUCUACACACUUCAGCAAGCUCCAAACAGGUCCUGAAAUAAUUAAUAUAAUUACAGGCACACAACAUGACAAACCAACAUCCAACCUGAUCCUAGCUAAUAAAAUUUGAGAACAUACACAGACGCCAAUUCGGAUGGCUUUAAUAUUGCAGUGCAUCCUGCUGCCAACGCAGGAGCCACUUUCCAUGUGGCCAUCAAUAGAGGAUAAUUCCUUCAACAUAAAAAACAAGCAAUUGUUAGUUUACUGAAUAUCAGGAAUCUUGAUGGCACAGAAUUGCUAUACAAUCCGCAGUACAUAAAUAAUAUAUCUCUCAGUCAUGUUUACUGUACAGGCCUACAAUAAAAAAUUGGCACAAUUUAGGUAAAUAUGUUUCAGUGUUUGCACAGAAACACACAGGGAUACAGGCUGAUAAAGGAGUUAAUAAAGUAGCACAACAAUUAGGGAAAUUAAAAGUACAAGGGCAGAAGUACCAGAAGUUAUCUUCAUAAAAAACAUGUGAUGUAGCCCAGAAGCAGUGCUUAAAAUGUUUGGGGUCCACAUAAAUUGCUACAUACCAGAAGGGAACAACUAAAGGAACCCAUGACUCAUCUAAGCUUAAGCAAUUUCAAAGCACAAUUUAUCAAGAAAUUUCCUUUUUAAGCUUCCACAGUCGUGAAAGAAAUGCGAAGAAGGCAGGACUUAUGGUCACUAAUUCUAGUUACAUGCAACAGCAUGAAAUUGCAAGGGGAAGGACCAACAAUAUAUUUUAUAGACUUAAACAAAUAAAUCAGUAAACACAGGAAGAAGCAUUUACCAUGGAGUAAUCAAUCCAACAACCCCAAUGGGUUCCUUAAGUACAUAACUCUCGAAAUUCUCCAGAGGAAGAGAAACAGGAGCCUUUUGUUUGGCAUCUAAGCCUUCAGCAAGGUCUGCAUAGUACUCGAAACACCCAGCAACAUCAUCCUGGACAACAUGAAGAGUCAUAAAAAAUGAAAUACACAAAAUACUCAACUUCAAAUAAUUUUUCAAUAGUGUCACAGCCAUACGAUGUCCCAAACAGCUUCUUCCAGUGGCUUCCCACAAUCAAUCGUUUCAAGGUUUGCCAGUUCAGACUUCCUCUCUGUUAUCUGCACAUCAAAAUACCAAGAUCAAUUAAUCACACUCUCCUAAAUUACCACAUUUUGUUAAAAUAUCCCAAAAAAAAAAAAAAAAAACUCUUUUUACAGAGACUUGUUAUUAGACAAACAAAAUUACGCUCAAAGCUCAAUACAAAAAGUUAAAUAAUCAAUGGAUUUCAGCAAAUGAGAUGUUUCGUCUUUCAGAAACUGAUGUUCAAGGUCCAGAUUUCAGUAAAAUGCGGAGGCCUACACCUCAGAAUGAUCAAAAUAAGAAUAUUGAUAAGAGAUGGAUAAAACUAAUAACCUUAGCAGCAAUAGCACGCAAAUACUUAGCACGAAAUGCCCCGGAUGCAGAGGACCAAUCCUUCCCUUUGUUUCUAGAAAGUGCUUGACGGGCGGCAUCAACAGCCAGCUCAACAUCUUCAGCAGUAGCUGCUGGAAUAUCACCUAAACAAACAAACAUUACCCAACACAUUAAAUCAAAGCUUACCAAGUUCAAUUUUAAACUUCCCUCAACUGAUCAGUAGAGUUAAAGCUCUAAACUCUUUCCAUCACCAAAAAAUAAUAACAAACAUAAUUUUGCGACUAAAUCAAAACUAAGUAACAAGGAGAGUGGAGCGGCUGACCGACGAUCUCUUCAGUGGUGGGAUUAACGAUUGGGAUGCGUUUCUUGAGAACGGGCUCUCUCCAUUCGCCGUUGAUGAACAGCUGACGACUUGGGAUUGGGAUCGCCAUCGCCAUUUUUCCUCUUCUCUCGGUUUUUUUACUUUAUUUUUUUUCUCUGUUUAAUCUCAGUUUCGGGUUUUAAGGAUUAGUUGCUUGCUACUUUCGCUUUUAUGGCCGAUGAUUUUCCUCAUUACUGGGAUUGCAGUGUCUCAUAAAAUAAGUUAUUUUUGUUGCGUAAAUAAAAUGAGUUAUUAAUUAAAAAGCUUUUGUAUUUGAGAAGAUGUGUCGUUGUUGUCACUGUUGGUUUAAAACUUAAAAAUCCCUGCAUUUAAGAAAUUUUUUUUAUUAUAAAAAUUAAAAUAGAUAUAUAUUUUAGGGUCUUAAUGAUCUUUUAUUUAUAUAUUAAGAUUUAUAACAAAAAAUAGAGUUAUUAUUUUGUUAAAAUUUAAGGUUAUAACAAGAACUUUAAAAAUAUGUGAUAACUUAUUUAAACAGUUGUUUAUAAAAAAUACCUUUUAUCUAUUUGUAGAAUUGUUUAGGUGAAGAAACUUACCAAAUAUUAUUUUUUAAAAUUUUUUGAAAUAAAUCACUUGUAGCAUUUCAACUUUAAUUCUAAAUAGAGCUAAUAUUUUAGAAAUUUAUUCACGUGUGAGGAAUUUUUUAUUAAUUAAAUUAGUAUUUAAGCCGAAGAAGAAAAGAAAAUAUUUCCCUACAAUCUGAUUUUUUUGUUUUUCUUUUUUCAAAAAGAAAAAUAGAGCACAUAAAAUCAAAUUUGUGAUUACACGCUGAACGCUAUAUACAUGAAAUUCAUAAAUGAUUGCUUUGCAUCGGCAAUUCUCACCUAAAAAAAAAAGAUCGUGAUUAUGAAAUUUAUUAUCUCCAAAUUUAAUGUUACAAAUUUAAUAAUAUUCUUUAUUUGAACAAAAUUUUUGUAAUAUUCAAACAAAGAAAAAUACAUAUUAACAUUUACACGGCUGAUCAGGACAAAUUUUAUUUGUUCGAUUGAUGUUUGAAUUUGGGACUUGGACUUGGACUUCAAGGAGGCGAGGACGGGCUCCUAAGCGUAAAGGCAAAAAGGUGGGUGACCGGCCAUCAUAGCGUCCAAAAUGGUUGAAAUUAGACGAGCCCCAAAACUUUUGUCGUUAUAUAUACCAAUCAAUAUACUCCCAACGUUUCAGAAUUAAACACAAAACACAAGUUUUCGAUUUUUAUCUCUUGCUUCAAUUACGUGUCGUCCUACAAAAAUGUAAAUUCACCGACACAGGCCAUUUUUCUAAAGAAGCGGUGGGUUUUCAUACGAAGAAAUUAGCUGGCAUGUCAGCGGAUCAUAUGAUAUGUAUUGCAUUGCAUCCCAUAUUCCCAAAUUUUUUUUAUUUUUUUGUUAGUUAAUUGAAUACGAUACGGAUUCGAAUGCGAUCGUGCAUAAUUUGAGCUUUAGCCCUUAGCAUGUGAACAUGCGUAGCGGUGGAUAACGACAAUAGAGGUAUGAAGGCGUCCGCAUGAACCGGAGAUAGGCAAAUCGACGUUAAACGCUUGAGCCAUAUAUAUAUAUAUAUAUAAAUAACGACAUUAACACAAAUUAUCUUUUGCCCACGUUUAAAAAUUAGAAACCAUAAGAAACUAGGGAUGACAAUGGGGUGGAGUGGAGGUGGGGAGGCCUACCUUAUUCUCCACCCCGUUAGAAAUUUUUUCCUCCAUUCCCCACCCCAUUCCUCAAUAAAUUUAGUGGGGCGGGGAUGGAGAAUCCUCAUGUGGGGAAUAAUUUCCCCAUCCCCACUUCAUUUUUCAUUUAUCUAUUUUAUAAUAUGUAUAAAUAUAUUAUUUUAGUAAGUUAAAAAUUAGAUACUUAAAAUAAAAUCAUCAACAUAUUAUAAAGUAUUUAAAUUCUUUUAAAAAAAUAUCUAAAAGUUUGAAAUAAUAUCUUAAAAUAAUAUUAAAAGUGAAAAAUAUUUAAAGAGCAUAGCACUUUAAAAGAGAAAAGAAAAUAUAAUAAUAUUUCAGAGUUGAAAAAUAUUAUAAGAUUUUCUUUCAUUCAUAUAUUAUUUAUAUUGCAUAAAAAUUAAAAAAAAUAUUAUUAAUUGACACUAUAAUUGAUAAAAUAAAAAUUAUUAAAUAAGAAUUAAAAACAUAUUUAUAUAUAAUGAGAAUUGAGGUGGGGGUGGGGGUGGGGUGGGGAGUACAAAAUCAAACUCCACCCCAUUAAGAAUUUAAAAAUUAUUUUUCCCCCACUCCCCACCUCAUUUCCCAAAAAUUAUUUAAAAUUUUUUUCAUUUGGGGUGGGUCUCCAUGAAGCGCCAGAGGAUUUUGCCAUUAUUAUAAGAAACAUACAAGAUUAUUAACAAAAAAAAAAAAAAGGUAGAGCUAUUCGCAUCUUUUUCUUUACUGCAGCUUGAGUAGUGGUGUGAAAUUUUGCAUGAGAAGCUUGCUUGGCCUGCGAUUGAGUCAUGAUUUUGGCACGUGUCGUGUCCAAUGACUCUCGUGUGGAUCAAGCUUCUUAUUGGGCUUUGAAGGAGGGGGCGUGGGGCUUUCCAUUUCGAAAAUUAUGGUGGUCACCGGAUUAAAUGACUUUUAACAUCGGGGAACAAUUGGUCUAAAGUUUAUCAAAAUUUUUAGGCCGAAACCAAUGGAUUGACUUAAAAUUUGUUUAGCCAAUUAAUAAUAGGCAUAGAAGAAGCCAUGAUUCAUGAACUGAUGUAGAUCAAGAUGAACAGAUACAGCGAAAAACAAAUAUUUUUUUUAUAAACACGAAAGAAAACAAAAGGAUCAAAACACGUGUACAUACAUACGAAUCACGCUAGUUUCAUAAUUUACAUACAUAAAUGAAAUAAAUGAUCAAUAUAAUAAAGAAACCAAAAACGAAUCAAUCCGGAAACGAUAUAUGAUCACGAUCCCUAUAAUCACAAGAAGCAGAACUGGUUUAGUAGUAACUAGCGUUUCUGGGUGGUUUUGUGAUACUUGGAUUUGAUCCACUGGAAGCCGACGGAGGUACCUUCUUUGACUUUCUUCAGGCCAGUCGAAGCCACAGAUUUGGUCUUGUCAAAGCCGUCUCCCACCUUCUGCUUGUACUUUGCUGCUCCUGUUCCAUUAUUAUUGCUCCUCUUUUUCUGAGGCACCACCGAUAUUGGGUCCGGCCCAUCGUCCCAUUGAUCUGCCCAUGAUGUUCCAUACGAGUUGUUCAGUCCUUCCAUUUCCUUUCCCGAACGAUCUAAUGCAAUUCUUUCAGCAGAUGCAGAUCUUCGAUUUUUUUUUUCUCCCUCUCUCUUUUCUAUUAGACCAGCAACUUGGGAAUCUGUUACGCUUUAUUGUUGAGAUGGGAGAUCUGCGUGGGGCUUGCCAUCUUUUAUAGUUUCGUCCAAGCAAGAUACGUGGCUAAAUUGGAAAGUCAACACGUCUGCUUUUCUUUUUCUUAUCGGACAAGUAUGCCCUUCUCCUUCCCAGCACUUUCCUUCCAAAUCCUGAAAUCCGUUUCUAAUAUGGUUUUUUAUUUUAUUUUAGCAUCACGUGGAAUUUGUUUAAUGGUAUUAAUUAACAUCACGUAUGAUGAUUAAUUAUGGACAAAGAAAUUACUAAUCACAUUGAAUUAGUCCAAAAAUUGUAUUAUAUCAAUUAGAUGACAUAAUUUUCACAAAAAAGAAAAUUCAAUAACAUAUUUAAUUAAGAUAGAUGAAUCAUUUUGCUGGGCAAUAAUUAUUAAUGGUAUCACAACUAAAUAGUUUUAAAUAUUUUUUCAUUUUCUUUCACAAGCCACCUGAAUUCGAAUUCUGUUGGAUGUACAGGACUAACAAAAAAUCCAUUCCUAAUCCGAUAAUUAACUUCCACUUGAUAAUAUAUUAUGCGUUUGUGUUUGAAGGGUACUGCAGUAAAUUCAGAGAGCCGUGGCCUGCGAGCAGGACAUUCUUGAAUCAACUAGAAACUUUUGACCAUAAUUUAUGUAGUUCUGUGUCUACAUCAUCAAUGGCAGGAUGGGGCCGGUGAUCGAAUUUUUGGAGGCUACAAGUCCAAAGACUACCCAAGUAUAUCUUCACUAGAAGCUUCUUACCCAAUGGUGUUUUCAUGCAAUCAUACUUUAUUAAAUAACAUUAUUAUAUAAGAAAUUGAAAUGAUUAUUAUUAAGCUAUAGCCCUGAAAUUAGUGGACCCUACAUACUGGAUACAGUUAUUAACAAAUGAUCCUAUUCAGGUUUUGGUGUUGAUGGGGUGUAUUUUGUCAUCACAUUGACCCGCAUUGUAUAUUAUAUUACACAACUAGUCAGAGAGAGUUGGCUAGCCUAUUUAUCUUGGAAGAGUUAUGCGCAUAAAAAUAUAUUAUUCAGAAAAAAAAAAAAAAAAAAACUUCUAGAAGGAAGUUGACUGGAUUUCGAUUGGUAAACAAAAGACGGCACCAGACUGUAAUAAGAUAAUCCAUUCACAAUCUAUUUUCCACAACCAUCAACUAUUCUUUACUCAACACGCCAAAAGGUCCAUUUAAUUUGGGAUUAUGGCAGCUUCCAUCAGUGAUCAAAUACGCUCGUUCCUUGCAAGUACUUGUUAUAGAGCCAUUGUGAUGUGAUCAAAGCAUCACCGUUACUCUCCACCGGGUAUACGUUUCUGCCGUUCUGCCAAUCAUUUGUAAGCUUUAUCCAUUCCCUCCUCCAAUCCUUCAAACGGAAGCCAUCGCCACUCUCCAAUGAUUCUAUCAUAUAUUUGAAGUAUAUCGCUGCUCGGGGACCAUAGUAGUCUCGUAGAAGUCCACUCCAGUACUUGUUUCCUAAAACAAACAAAACAAAACAAUCUUGUUUCCUAAUUACACAACAAUCAUAUAUUUGUGUUACAUGCAAGGAUUUGCACUGGUUUUCUCAUUAAAUAUCCAACUGUCUUAUAGUCAAAUUCUGAUGACAAAUUUGGUAAAAACAAUAUUAAGUCAUCACAUCCACUUACCGUAAUCACGAAGCAGACUUGCUUCCUCCUGUGUGUUGUCGAACCACAUGGUUAUUUGAGUUCUUGCAUUCCAUUCAUACUGUAUUUUCCCAAACCAUCAAAUACAAUUAAUCAAUAAUAUCAUGUCAUUUAUUGGCUAACAUAAGGGCACCUAACCUGUUUUUCUUGUUCUUCAUUUUGGGCAAGUUGUUUGGCACUUUCUAACCAAGGUCCUAGAAGAAACCCAUCAUGGCAUGCUAGGAGACUGUCCAUAUCUUCCACAAGUUCUAAAAACCUCCUACUCAACUGGAAAACUCCAUGAGCAUCAUUUAACUGAUAGGCUUCAAUGAUAUUCAAGAACAGCUCAUUCGCAUAUUUUGCUAAAGCUUGUCUAGUCAGGUCAGUUAAGUCGUACCUACAGAUGCAGUGGAAGUGGCAGGGAAAAAUUAAUAUGACAAAAGCAAAAAAUUGAACAAUAAUAUGAUGGAAGGAACAAGAAGGAUAGUGUAGCUAGUAGUCAGAUGUUCUGGAACUAAAUGAUGCCAACCUGUAUGUGUUACUUGCUGAUAGCUCGUUACCACUUGCGAUAAAAAGUUCUAAUGCUCUGAUUACUUCUGACGUUGAAUACCAUAAAUGUGGGUGAUCAUAUGAACUUGUUUCGCUCUUCAGGACUGCUUUUUUUGAUACUGGUUUCCCAUAGUUUUGAUACUUUCCGUCAGUAACUGAAAUUAUGGAUGGAUCAACAUCGGGGAAUGCUACAAUUACAUCCCUAUUUUUGUCCUGUUUUAAUAUUUAGAACACAUGAUACAGAUACUCUUACAUUGUAGUCGAGAUGGGAACUCCUUAUUUCAACAUAUAUAAUCAAUUACCCUAUUGCAAAACAUGACUUGAACAAGCAAGGGAACUUACAGUGGCACCAUCAGUACAAUUGUAGACUGUGUGAUAUAAAACAUUCCAGGCAUCUUGUAUUGCUGGAACUGAUCUACCAUAACGUCUAACUGAAUACUGAUUGAUCCAUGCCUGAAAAAUGAUUGACUCAUUAUUUUAUUGUUAUUACUUAUAGAGAACAACGUUAAAAAGAAAAAGGUUGACUGGGAUUUAAUCAGAACAUAAAAGGAAGAUAGUUGAAUGCAAUGAUAUAGUGGGAAUUGAAAUAAAUAACUCAAGCAUAGAGAAACUGCCAUGAAUAACUGGAUAAAUAAACCAUCUGACUCAUGAAAGUUCCAAUUAAAUGCAUAUAUUAUUUAUAAUCUAGAGUAGUUUACUCUCUAUUGACUUUGUUCUGCUUAUUGAUUCAAACAACACAAAAUUGGGUACACAACUUCUCCAGGAAGGAAAGGAUCAAAUCUCCAAGAAGUAACCAACUUUGGCACAAUUUAUUUGUGUGACACGAGGUGUUACUAAAUCCCAGUUUCAAGAUUGUAACUAACUUUAAGCUUGAAUGGUACUGAUUAGGAAAGGACAGCUUAGAAGCCAAUGGGAUAAAUCCAUGACACGACUUAUCAAAUAACAUGUAGCAAAACUUUGUUAUUAGAUGCUUUUCUUAGGUAUAAUUUAAUCAUACUUGUUUUCAUUUUAACUUCAAAAGAGCAUAAUAAAGAGUUAAAGGUGGAUAAGCAUGCAACAUCUUAAACAUUUGAAAAAGUCAGAUAUUACCUUUACAUCAACUUUUUCGUGCUGAAAUGCCAUUUCAGACAUGAGAUCAUAAACAACAGGAUUUUGUUCUAUGCCUUCCAUCGACAUCCCAACCCCAACCUUCAGACAUGUUAGAUAAUGAAGUAAGAUACAUAAUUCACUAAGGUUUCAGGACAAUAGCAGAUUUAGAAAGCAAUUCAUGAUAUUGUGGAACAAUAAACAUUAAACAAACUUGCCAUUGUUGUGUUUUCACUUGUACGAGCUUCAACUGGUCCAAAAGCUAUUGAAUCUAAAAUCCCAUACAUCUCAAUAUUUCCAGCAAAGUUAUGCAGCAUACACCUGAUAAAACAGAACAUUGGCAACUCAUAAUGAUUAUUGAAAGCGAAUAAGAAAAGAAACAUAAUAACUUCAUUAAUUCAUAUCUUUGGUUUUAUCCUUUGUAACAAUCAUAUCCACCAUUGGACACGAUUUUACUUUUCAUUAAGAACCUAAUACGUUAUUGUUGAUUAGGUAAGUACCCUAAAUAUCAAUGAUAUAUAUUUAAAAAGUUACCAGAUGUAAGGAACACCAUAAAAUUGCUUUGAUGUACUCCAAAUGGGUUUAACUUCAGCAAACAGAUCAAGGACGACCAAUUUCCCUAAAGGAACAGAAUUUAAAAGUGCCUGGAAUAAAAACUUAAAUUAUUGCCAAUUAAAAGUGAAACAUCUGUAUGUAGGCAAGCUAACACCUCAUGUUUUUCUAAUUAAUAAAAUAUUGCAUAGAUGUAAAUCACCGAACAAUAAGCAUACUAUGGCUUGUUUGAGCACAUAGGCACAAUGAUACACUUGGGCAGGCAAAUGUGCAAGAAAACUUAACGGGCAGUGCGGUGCAUUUCUCAACAUCUCUAAUAGACAUGGCCACUCAAGCUUGUAUACAUAUCAAAACUGUCUAGUCUAUUUAUUAUCUCAUAUGUUACUCAAGUAUAUAUUAGAUGAAGACAUGGCUGACCAUCAUUUCUUUCAAAUUAUUUUUUCUACACUUCACAACCUCCAGGUUAAAAGAUGAAAGUCCUCAAAUUUAACAGUUUCAUAUGGUGCUCAAAAUUUGUUCAGCUUAACCAUUUGAUAUUAGCAAAUAAAAUCAUACAUAGAUGAGGUAAAAUGCAGAUGCAUUUGAAUGUGGAAAAGCAUAGAACAACCAGUGAAGUCAAACAAUUAAAAAGGAUAUACAGAGAACCUUCAUUUGUGGAGGCCUCCAGAAUGGAUCAUAUGAGAACAACCAUCCCUGCAGAAUAUUCAGAAACAAUAGGAAAAAAACAGUUAGUACUAAUACAAGAUCUACUCUAGAGGAGAGACUAGAUUUGGAAAGUCAGGGUCUUAGUGGCUAAGUGGAUCCAGAUUCAGACAGAACUGAGAACAUAAAUAAAACCGAGAUGCGCAAACUCGGUUUGAACUCUAAUAGCUGUAACCUGAUUAAAAAAGUAUCACAUUGAAUACUAAGCAAAUAGUUUUUUUUUUCCACCUGCAUUAGCCAAACAGCAUCACUGUCACCACUUUGCAUUCCACUAUAGAUUGCUGCACCUAAUGAAGAGAUGUACUCCGGACUAUCUACAGGUGGGGUAUUCUCGUCAAAUGUAUCACUGCAAAAAAUUAAAUAAAUUAUGACAUGAUAACUUAAAAAUUUAAUGCAAAAAUAUGUAACAAAAAACUAAUAGAUAUUAUUUAUGAUCACAAAGAAUUGCUUCGGGAAAUUGGUUGAGCAUUUAAAAAAAAAAACAAACAAACAAAGACCAAUAAAGAUCACUUUGCCCUCUUCCAAUUAUUAUCUGAGAAAAUUCACGUAUAAGUGAAAUGAACAACAAUAAAGAUUGUCAAACAUAUAUAAAUGAAAAAGGUUUCUGGACAGCAAUAAAAUUGCAUUAGUAACUUACCAGUUGUAUAUGUGGCUAGUCCUUCCAUACUCUGACCAAAAAGUCAAGUGGAAGAAUCAUAAAGAUUUAGAAUACUUACUUAGCACAAAGAAUGUAACUCUAACGAAUUUCAUGUGCAUGAAAAUCUAAUCAAAGAGAGGAACAAGGGAUUCAGACUAGAUCACCUUUCAGUUGUUGCUCAAUAAAUGCUCUUCCAAUCUCAAUGAACAAGGGAUCAGUUGCAUCAAGAAGAUAAGUGCAACACCAUCUAGGAUCACUCUUAACAGAAAACCUGGAGCAAAUGGAAAGAAACAAUGAUGUCAAGUAAAUGAAUCCUUUUUCAUUAUUUUACAAUAAGUCAUUGAGAAUCUUAUGCUUUCCUAACAUCUCACUUUCAAGUUGGGUGAUCAAAGAUGAGGAACAAAAAAAUAUAGCAUUUGCAUCAAUACUUCUGUGUCAUAUAUAAGAGGAAAUACCAAUGAUUAAGAGACACUAUGUAAAUGUAUAUGCAUGGAAAAAUAUUCUGAAAAGUAUUGAUAACUGUUUUAACAUUUUUAACUUCUUUAGUCUAGACAAUAAAUAAUCAUUGCCAAAUUUAAGAGAUGCACCUCCAAUGCAGUUUACCAAAUCUUAUUUUAGGAAAUGAAGAACACAAGUUCUGGAGAAAAUCUUGACCAACUGAGAAUUCAAAUUUCAAAUAGCACAUAGCAUUACUUACCAAUUUCCUAAUUGUGUUAUCUUUGCUGAAGGAAAUACAUUCUGCAGUGCUGCAGGGACAUUGCCAGAAAAAGCUGGAAGUACUGCAAAAUCAGCUAGAAGCAUUAGAGUCUUACAUCAAUAAGAGGAAAAAGGAGUUAAAAUAUCCUAUCUAUAAAUUGGGAUCUCUCACACAUUUAUUUUCCUUUAGAUAAAUAGCUUUCUUCUGGCUAACAAGACAAAAUCCCUUUAAGACUGGUUAUCUUACCCAGGAAUUUAAAUACCAUAUGAUGUUGUUGCAAAUUCAUAAUAACAGAAUAAAAUUCAAAAACUGUAAGCAUUCAAUUUUUCAUCAAUGAAAGUGCAAGUUACAAGAAAAUUACCAGCAUAAUCACCCCUUUUUGUGGGCACUACACAAAUAAAAACUUUUUGCAAUAUGUUAAAUAAAAGAUAAUGAGCACAUCUUGGUAAUCAUGAAUCAGUGUGUUUAUAGCUGCUCAUCAGGCUCAGGAUGUCAUGAGUCCACCAAACUAUUACAAUGAGCCCAUCAAUAUAACAGAGCAACUCCUGCUACCAUGAGGCCUCUGAGGCUAAAAAUCAUUAAGCAAUGAGCCAUUCAAGAUAUUGUUCUAGCAACAACAAUCAAACUAAUUACAUCUCACUCUAAAGGUUUCCAGUCAAGUGGUAUUUGUCUUUCAGAUUGGAAAUAGUUUAAUAGAACUCGAUGCUGAAAGUGGAUGAAAAACAUGUACCUGGAUUCAUUCCGAGUUCAUAUAUUCUGACAAGAAUUUUCUUCUGGAGAACUAAUUGUUGAUCCAACCAACUUUGAGGUAGAGGUCCACCCCAUCUGUGAAAAAAAUAUGGUGCAUCAAAGUGUCAUAUACCAAGUUUCUAUUUAUGAUAUGGAAAGCCAUCAGAGGAAUGUCUCUGUCAAAACAACAUAUAUGAUGUUGAAUGUGUAACUUUAAGGUUCCGUGAGCAAUUCAUGCACACAAUUAUGGUUUGAUUGACAAGCUCUUGCCUGAAGCAUCAAAAGAACCAGUAUAUUCAUGUGACUGAAAGGUUCAACUUGGGGAAAUAUGAGACAUUAGUCAUUUGAAAAAUUUAGAACAAUAAUGAUAGCAUUAGUAAAAUACCUUUUCCAUAUGUUCAUUUAACGACAACAUUUGGGAAACAGUCAGGCUGAUUUUUUUCAUUUCCAAAACAAGAGCAGUUUCAAAAGAGUAAACCACGAUCUGCAAGCUUACCCAUGCAAAUUUGACAUACGCGACCACGCCAGAAAUCCGGGACCUCCAAAAAAGUCAUCCAAAUCUGAAUUGCUUAUGUUAAAUUUCUGAAUGAAGGUGAAAUGUAAAUUAGUGCAAGAGAAAUAUGUUGCCAAACCAAUAAAAGUCAAACUCCACAAAAUUCCUGACUUUUGGAAAUCCUGAAUCAAAGUGACAAAGAAGCAAUCUAGAAGUACAUUAAGGUGAUAUGAUAACUCUGAUUUCUAAUAGUCACUUGUUGAGUUGGAUCCAACAUUGGCUAGUUAAAGUGAAUCACUUGGAUUUUUAAGUAGUAUAGGUCCCUCCACCUAAUGAGAUAGCCUUUUGAGUUGGACGUCUAGAAAUUUUAAGCCUAACCCCUCAACAAUUAAUAGCCGAAAUGUGGUGGUGGAACAAUUCCGCGUCUAUCGGAUUAAAGAACUGGGGUUUGCUGGUGGUUUCGUCCAGGGAGAUAGUUGAGUUGUGUUCCACAUUGGCUAGUUUACGGGAGUCACUUGAACUUAAAAGUAGGAUAGGCUCCUACACCCAAUAAAUUAGUCUUUUGGGUUCAAUACUCAAAAAUCGUAGGCCCCACACCCCAACAUCACUGGCACCAAAUUCUCUCCACAAGAAAGAGAAAUCAGCAGAAAGCUACCUGAAAAACCUUUUGCCAAAUAGCUUCUUGUCCUGUAAAUGCCAGGGGCAAGUUGAUACCUUGGAGAGCCAUCCAAUCAAUUUCUUUUUCCCAUCUUUUCCAGUCCCACCAAGCAAAAGUAUCUUCCAAGUCAUGAGAAAAGCAUGAUUAUUGUUAGCACACAACAACUAUAAAAGGUUCGUAGUCAUGACAUUAGAAAAAUAGAUCAAGAGAUAAAGGACAGUUUCGAAGAAGACGCUUACAACUAGAUGUAACAGCAUUCUGGUAGUAAUUCAAAGGAGUGGGUCUCUUAACCAAGACGCCAGCAUCUUGAACACGGGGAAAAGAGCCUAAUUUAGGCAUUGAAGCUACUUGUACACCACCUGUUUUGUCCCAAGAUAUAUGUGAACCGCACCAAUACCUGAGGUACCAAUGCAGACCAGCCAAAACUUCCACUCCAGUGACCCCACUUAUUCUGGCACCAAACCAAACCAAUCAAAUUUUCCAUGAUUCACCAAUACAGCAUGAAGAAAAUGGAAAUGAAGAAACAUUGACAUACACAAUCUCUGGAGUGCCGCGUAUAUAAGAAGAAGGAUGAUUCCUUAAAAUAAAGCAGUAUUCUCCACCACAUUGCUUCUGAAAUCAAAACAAGAACAAUGAAAUUUGACCUAAUUUAACAGUACUAAUUAAUUAAAAUUUGAGUAAAUAAAAGACCUUAGAAAUAAUUCGAAAUUGGAAGGCGGAAUAGUGAGAAGGAAGCAGCCGUUGGAGAACAGCGUAAGCGGCGGCUAAUUGGACGGAAGGGGGAGCACGCUCGCGUUCCUGGAUAUCGAGAAGGCGCGAGAUGUACUGGACUCCGAUUGUUGACGAUUGAGCGACUGCGAGAGUCGAGAGCGUGAUUGUGAUGAUGAAGAAUAAGAUGAGAGAAACGGAGCGAAACGGAGAGUCCAUGUGAGAGUGAUAGAAACGAAACUCAAAGCAGUGGGUGAGGGAGAUAAGAGAAUUCGCAUUGUGGAAGAUGAGACGAAGAGAUUCUUCGAAGCGAAUGAGACAAAUUCUUGGCCGGCUACGCGCUACAGUACAGCCUACAGAGGAGGGAAAUUAGUGGCCAUUUGUUUUUGGUUUUGUUUGCUUCCGCUUCAACAAUUUCGUCAGUUUAAAUUUUGGAGCGAACUCCGUUAAACCCGCGGGCUGAUAAUCCAACUGCUGACGUCGGGUUUAUGCUGGGCCUUGUUGAAUUGCGGCCCGGAAUUUCGUGGGCCCAAAUGCCAACUUCCACACAGGGUUUUUCCUUUUUUACUUUCCUUUCUUUUUUUUUGUUAAAUGAGAAAAUUAGAGCUAAAACAGCUAAAAGUAAAUGAAACUUCAAUUAAUAGUAAGAAAAAAGGUAGAUUUGAGAGAAAGAAGAGGAGGAGAGCAAUCGACAAGUGACCUCUUCUCAUCUUUUUAUGGUCGAUUUAUCAUCUUAAUUUGUUUAAUAAGUUUUAAUUGUACAUGAUGGGAUUUGCCAACCUCGAUUAUCCUUGCAAAUGUCUUAGAUGAUACUUGACGUUUGCCAAGUACAUAGACUUGCUUAGAUGUUCUUUUUUUAUGUAAGCUCUUCCUCCUACUUUUAUAAAAAUAAUAUUUCACUUAAUAAUUUAUAUAUUUAAACAUCAUUAUUUACGUGAAAUGCUGAACAUAAAUUAAAACUACGACUACUAAUAAUAAUAAUAAAGAAGUUGACUUGUUUAUGAUGAUCGAUCGCAACUUGGGUGGGUUCAAAAUGAAAGUUAUUUGUUUAAGAAUAAUAAGUUUGACUAUGACCUUCUUCUUUAAAACCCAACACAUUGGCUGCUUUUUGAAAGAUAAGAAAUGGAUGGUUGAUCCAUGGCAUCUGUCACAUGCCUUGCAAUAAUGUUACGAUCUCUUCAUCAUAGCAGCUCUAAGAAACCGGAAAAGCCUCUAGCUUCUAGGUAGAAUCAGGGUUAUAAAAUUUUAUUAAGCAAAUAAUCUUGCAACAGUGAGAGGCUACGCAUAUUGAUUCAAGCACGAAAUCAUCAAGUUUGGUGAACAAAUUGUCAUCGUCAGUUCGGGGACCAACAGACAAUAUAAAAGAUAAUGUUUUGCAAGUUGUGCUAAUGGUAUAUUAUUUGGAAAGGAGAUGACCAAAUCCCAAAAGGGGUGCUUGUAUUGAAUGACCCCAUUAAUUUUCGUCAUGAUGUAUGAAACAGGAAACCCUAAGAAGGAAAGAAAGUUUGUCUUUUGAAUAUAAAUAUCGGUAAUAGUGUUAUAGUAAUUAGUCUUCCGUUCCCAUGUAAAUGAUCUCUGGCCGUCAACAGCCCCCAAAAGCUAUUUUAUAUAAUAUAUUAGAGUAAUGAGGUUUCGAUAAAGUGUUGUUGUUGAGUUGUAUAACAUAAACUUUUAACGAGUUCAAUUAUAAGUGUGCUUGUGUUACUUAUUUACACCAAUCUUCAAAAGAGAAUAUAAAGGAAGUUUUUAUUGUAUACGAGUAGUGUGUGAAAAUAUAAUAUUGUAACCAGCAUGUGUAUUUUAUUUAUGCUGGAAGUAUGUGUUGUACGUACAAUGCUCCUAGUUCUUCUUUGAAAACUCUAAAUUUUUCACUGUAGAUUCUCAGUUUUUCAUGUGUUGUGCAAUGUAUAUAUUAUAACUUGAAGAUCAUAAACCAUGUAAACGAAAGCAUGAACUAUUUUUUUUUUCAACAGAUAAUGUGGAGGGAUGAAUCUACAAGAGUAGUUAUAUUGUAAUUGUUACACUAUAUUAAAGUGUUGAUCUAAUUUUUGUUUUAAGAGUUUAAAAUGUAUGUUAUAAAUACACGUGUGGUAAAAGAUUUCAAAAUAGUUUGUCAAUCAACUAUCUAUACUUUUAGAAUUUUUUUUAACUAAUUUCAAUUCAGCACCGAUAUUCAGCCCACACUAAUCACCAUAAUAAGCACUGAGCGGUGCGUUUUGGGUGCAAUAUAAAAGUGAUUGUUGAACACAUGAGACACAAUACACGUGCAAAUCAAACACACGCAUUCUCCGUCACUCUCCCGCUCAUUCACACCAAAUCCACAUCUCACUCAAUCCAGAAAAUCUCACCUGCUAAUUCUCCCACGCCACUUUCUGUUCUAAUUGUGAAUUCUCCCUCACGGUGCCUCUAACCAAAAAUCUUACAAAAAAUGAGUAUGUUUGAAAUAAAAAUGUAUUUCUAGAACUAACUGGAUAAUCGGAUAAAAUAGUACCUUUGUGAAAACUAGCAAGAGUUUUCCUCUCAGAUUCAUUCUGAAGCUGUAGCUCAGUUGUGUUUGUGUUUCUAUUAAAGCUGUUACUAGUGAUGAUAAUGUUCGGAAAAUUUAUGGAAUUUAAAGUAAUGGAACAGAGAAUAUGUAAGAGCUUUUGUGGCUGCAAAAACUUUUAAAAUAAAACUUACAAUUUAAAGGGUUACAGAUGUGGUAUUCAUACAUUAUUGGCCACAAUCUUGUUAACUUGAUGGGUCUACCGUUCCUUGCAUUCAGAAGAGCCAAACCCUCAAGAGUUGUAACAUGUAUCCACCUCAUCCGCUUCAAACUUGAAAUGCCAAACUACACUUGUCUGUGCAGCAAUCUCUUGGAAUUGUCUUUAAUUUCAUUCUUAUGCAGAAUUUUUUUUUUUUUUUCACAAUCCAGAUUAUUAUUUUUAAAUUUCAAUAUUUUUUUAUUCUUUUUUUCUCACCAGCUGCGAAGAGACCCACGGCGAGAGAGAGGGAGAGAGAGAGAGAGUAAACGGAGACCAGAGAGAGAGCGGAUGGAGAAACAGAAAAAGAGACUGUCGACGGAGAGAGUACAAAGCGGUGAGAUUUGCGUGAGAGAGGUUGCACGCGUGUUGUGGUGCUUAUGUGUGUGUCAUGUGAGAUGGGGCUACGGAGACAUUUUAUGGCGUGCCCAAAACGUAUCGAUCGGUGCUUAUUGUGGUAUGAGUGUCAUUUUUUUAUUUCAAUUAUAGCUGCUCGCGUAAAUUUCUGCUUCGUUUCCUUUUUACUUGAAUCAAUAUAGAAUCCAAGUUCUAUUCGAGUAGCUAAUGUCAAAUUAAUACAAUACUUGCGCUCUUGUUUCAUCGUCGUAAUCAGGUUGAAAGUGAAGGUAUGACAUAGGCAAUGAUGAAAUCAGACGAAGAUAAACGGUAGCAUGCAUCUUACAGAGGAAAAGGGCAAAAAAAAAGGUUGUUGUACUUGGCUAUAUAGACUGCGAUUAAUCGGCAUGAAAGUAAAAAAUAUGAACUAAUGAUAGAAAAUUUGUGAUGCCAAAUUGGACUAACACAUAAGAAAAGUAUCCCAAUACAUCACUCAAUAUAAAGAGACUAAUUACCAAUCAGUUUCCUAGAAAUUGAAGAAAGUUGAUAAAUGGUAUCAAUACAUCAGCAUCCAUGGCACGCGCAAUAGUCCAGCAGCGUAUCUUAAUUAGCCUCCUAAAAGUGUUUCAUGGGAAGAUGAAUCAACAUGCACCAGGACAGGCUAUUGAUAUUGCAUUACAUUAACGGCUUCAAAAUUUUCAAGCGCCGCAUCAUUUUGUGCUCCAUCUUGGGGCCUCUGAUCAGUGAGUUAAAGGUCGAACUACCUCUCAAGUCACGAUCAAGAAAUGGAUUCCGUGAUGUUCAGAUAAAGGAAAGCGGACACGAAACAAACAGUACUCGCAGUUGCAAGAAGCCAUUGUCGCGAUCGGGGUCCUACAAUAUUAUUCCAAUUCCGAUAUUUUGAUGUCUUUAAUGAAGAGGAGAAAUGAUAAGUUCAAAGCCAUAACGUCGCGUUUGGCAAGUUUGGAAAGACAUGAAAUAGAGAAAUGAAAAGGACUAAUUGGCUGUGGGGAGAAAUAGAACAAAAGCCGAUUUCACAAUCACGUGGGUCUGAUUCUGACCUGAAUUAUGAUUCCACCUAACGUUGAGACCUAUGAACCCUUUCUCUAUCUCUUAUCAUCUGACCAAUAGAUUCAACCAAAGAGCACAAUUGCAAUCAUCAAAAUCGUCUGGACAUGGAGGAUAGAGCCAAGUGUCGCAGUUAAGCACAGUGCAUGUGGACAAUUUAUUUCGCAUUCAGUGUGAUAUAUUAUGUAUCCCUCUCCAACAGCGUUUCAACUCUUCUUUCUGAACCACUCGAAACUCUCAAAUAAGCAAAACUCAUUUCUACUGCAACUUUUUAAUUAAUUAUCGUCAUGUUUGUAUUAAAAGAACACAUUAGAAAAAUAUCUACCAUUAUGUAGCUUAAAGAUUCAUUAAGCUUUUAAAUAUAGACUCUCCUAAAAUGAAUCAAAAGUUAGAUAUUUGUCAUAAAAUGUACACUACCAUGUGCCCAUUAUGACUUGUUUUUAAUCGAGGCCAAACUAAAAUACUUUUAAGUUAAUUCACCCUGCCAUUAGUAAGAAGGCAAUAAAAUAUACGGACGAUGAGUCAAUUAAGAAGGUUUGAUGCAAAGCAUGCUCGAUGGAGGGAGCAUGGGAUCGUCAUCCACAACUUAUAUAACAGAAAUAAAGAAAGAUUCAUCAAAUCAAAUGUCUUUUUAUAUUAAUGCUUUGAAUUUUUAUAAUCCCGACAGGUGCCAAGAAUUAGGUCAUUAAGAUAUGAACAAAUAGAAGUCCAUUGGCCAACCUAUGAGUUGAGUCCUGCUUCUCAAAUUUGGAGUCCUUCCAUUAUCCAUAAAACAAAUCAGUCCUAAUCAAUGAUUUAGCCCUGCAUAUUUCUUAAAUCAACUUGGCUAUAUGUAUAUAUGUUUUAUACCGAUUUAAAAUUUCUGCAUAAUUAUAUAAUUAUAAAGUUGCAGUCCUUCAUUCCCAGCAUGCAGUGGAACACAAAAUAACCACGUGAUGAGUCAAAAUUUCCCAGCUCCUAACGAAGGCCCAAACAUUGCACUAUUUUCCAGGUUAAAUUAUAGCAGUCCCAUAUAUGGAAUUAUCUAAUUAAUUUAAUCCCUGUUCCCUGAAGAGGAGUUCCAUCCAGCCAUUAAUUAGAAUAGUGUAAAAAUUGGGCUAAUCUUUCCUCCUUGAUCACUCUAUACCUAUUCUAAAGUACCCUUUACUCUCAGAGCCAGCUUCUAAAUCUUUAUAUAUAUUUGAAUCCACUUCCCUUUCAUUCACUCUCACUCAUAUGAAUGAUACUUUGUUCCCGUAUCCACACACUCCAUCACCAUGACUUGUCACACAAAUUAUGAUUUCCAAGCACCCUGUAAUAGCUUUCAAUCACAGUCGUCAUCACUUAGUUCCCAGCCAAGCCUUCCAUCAGUUCCUUCACUCACCUCACACUCACUAUCCCACCGGCGGCAACACAAUCUUUCAGUCGUAGACCACCACUGCCUCACCACUCUCAAAGGCCAUAACUCUUACGUAUCAUCACUCGCCCUCGCCGGCAAAUUCCUAUUCACGGGCUCCUCUGACAACGAAGUUCGCUCAUGGGAUUGCAACACUUUCAGCUCAGAGCUUGAUCAAGAGUUUCUAAGUAACAAUAAUAUUGUAGCCGUAGGCAAGGGGGCGGUCAAGUCCCUAGUUGUGUUAGCAGACAAGCUGUUUAGUGCUCAUCAAGAUCACAAAAUCCGCGUAUGGAAAAUCAAUAACCAAGAGCCUGAUCAUCAGAAAUAUACCCGUUUAGCCACGUUGCCAACGCUUGGUGACCGUGCUAUCAAGCUUCUGAUGCCUAAGAACCACGUACAGAUCCGCAGGCACAAGACAUGCACUUGGGUCCAUCAUGUGGACGCUGUCUCAGCACUCGCCUUGACAAAAGAUGAAACACUUCUCUACUCAGUGUCAUGGGACAGGACGAUCAAGAUUUGGCGGACAAGCGACUUCAAGUGCUUGGAGUCAAUAACAAACGCGCAUGAUGAUGCAAUAAAUGCAGUGGCAUUAUCCGAUGAUGGAGAUGUUUACACAGGAUCAGCUGACAAGAAAAUCAAAGUGUGGAGGAGAAGUCCUGGAAACAAGAAACACUCUUUAGUUGAUGUACUGGAGAGACACAACUCCGGGAUCAAUGCUUUGGCGCUAAGCUGUGACGGGUCUGUUUUGUAUUCAGGGGCGUGUGACAGAUCAAUAAUUGUGUGGGAGAAGGAGGAAGAUGACGGCAACAUAUUGGUGGUCGGUGCCCUCAGGGGCCAUACAAAGUCAAUACUGUGUAUGGCUGUGGUGUCUGAUUUGGUGUGCAGUGGCUCUGCUGAUAAAACUAUUAGAAUUUGGAGAGGAAUUGAUAGAAAUUACACUUGUUUGGCUGUUUUGGAAGGGCACAGAGGCCCUGUCAAAUGCUUGGCUGCGGCAAUUGAUAAUGAUCGCUGCGAUUCAUCCGAUACUAGUUACCUUGUUUGCAGUGGAAGCUUAGACUGUGACAUCAAAGUGUGGCAGAUUUCCUUCCCUCUUGUUCGGUGAACUUUUCUUCUGGCGAUAUGUUCAUAAUGCAAGGAGAUUUCGUGUUUCUUUUUCUCUACUGUGUAGUCUUUUUUUUUAAUAAUUUACAUGGUGACUUUUGAGAAAAAAUAGAAAGCUUUAUUAUUGAACUACUGUACUGUGAUUUGGGUCUAAUUAUUUACUUUGUUUUCACUUUUCACCAUUGGACAUUGCUUUUGUUCAGCAAUCGUAAUUGUUUCUCCUUGCCUUCCCCUGAAAUUGUUUAAGGUAUUAAUUUAUUCUGAUAGUUUGAAAAUGAUACCCAGGCAUGGUGGUGGUGUUUUUUUAAUUAUCGCAGCCAAGUCUUUUAUUAUUAUUAAUUUUCUUGAGACAUUUAGCUGAACUGCAGGAUUCAAAGCGACAGCCGGGGUGGUUAAAGUCACCAAAUUGCACCUGAAAAGGUGGAUUAGCGAUGACUACAAUAUUGAUUCUUCCUAAACUCCAUGACAGCUCGCUUUGUAUAUUUAUUUGCUUUUAAAUUUUUAAUAACUUUAGUAAGUUAGACACCUAAGAUUGUACUGUACUGUACUGAGCAUUUAUCAGAGAUCAGACCUGAAAAAGACAAGUUUCCCUUUCUUAUCGAGUUUCUUCCAGAAAAGCAGAAGGAAAAAGCAAAAACUUUGUCAAAUGAAAGCACAAAUUUUUAUUAUUAAAACGAACAAAUAAUUAAAUUCAUGUGGUAAAAUUCCCAAAAAUGGUAAGAAAUAUUCAAUUAGAGUUAAAGUCAUGUGGUAAAAUUCCCAAAAAUGGUGAGAAAUAUUCAAUUAGAGUUGCACUGUACAGACGGUAGGAAAAAAAAAAAGGAAAAAUAACCACAUGCUAAUAUCAGUGGUGUUGUGCACAGCAUAUCAGACGGGCGUUCAAACUCCAGAGCUUACCAGUACACACGAAUAUUGAAAGCUGUAAAAUAUGCUCACAGUCACAGAUAUUCUUACAAGUGCCUAAUUCUACCAAACUAAGAGAAGAUAACUUGAUGAAAUAAAUUAUUGCUUACGAUUCACCUGAAGGCAUUUUCCUCAAGAAGAAUUUGGCAAAACAAAUAGAAAUUAAUGAAUUUAUAUAUCAGGCAACUCCCCACCGCUCACCAUCUUUUCAUCCUGGAAAAAGUCAUUGCCUUUUAAAUAAUAAGUGGGCCUGAAACAAGAUAAUGCACUCCCGGAAAAAGAGCAUUAACCCUUUGAAACAAAUAAUGCUCUGCCAGACUACUUUAUUUGGGAAAAGAAAGAAAUAAAACCAAUCAUACAGAAAAUGCAAUAAAAAAGUGUCCCAAAAAAAAAUAAAAAACAAAAUUAAACACUAAAUUCAAAUGGGUUCUUUCUUUAACACAAGUAGUGAUUAACAAUAUGCUGAUGCAGAAGUCUCAUGUCAUGGAGAUCUGCCCUAAAUAUCUUUUGCUUAAUCUAUUAGGAUUAUUGACAUUUUGACUUUCUAAUCUAAUUACAAGUGGAUGCAAAGGUAGGUAAAAGUCGUUUUUCUUAUGGAACCAUUCUUCUAACCUUAUUCAUUUUUCUCCACCGGAACCAACAUCCAAUCGUCUAUAUUAUGCAAAGGACAUUGAAUUGACCUGUAAAGACAACUAGGUAACAUUCAAUAAUUACUGCUCUCAAGAAUAACAAUAACAUAAUCAUUUUACGUCAUCUCCUAGCAUAAGCUACGCACACUUGUCCAUACCAUGUUAAAAAAAAAUAUUAAAAAAAAGCUUGCUUUAACAUUUUCGACCUUUUAUAAUUUCCCUUCCAGGCAGCAAUAUAACAUCCCAUUUUAAUUUAAAGAAAUAAAAUGCUAUGUCUAUUUUCUACUUGGCUUUGUUUACCUUCAGGUGUAUUAGAUGAAUCUUGCACCUGUUUGGCUCUCAAGGUCAGCUCUAUAUUCUUUGCAUGCACAGAUGUCAUGUACUGUGGUGACUAUAAGCAAUGCAAAUAUACUUAUGAGUGCACGUGUAUACACUGCUAGAAGUUGACAAGCUAAGCUAACAAAUGGUAGUUGAUCAUAUUCCUAACAAGCAAGCAAAUUUGACGCAAAUUUCCAGAAAAUUUUAUUGAACAGCUCAAACCAAUAACUAUAUAUUUUCAUAAAAAGGAUAGAAUACAGCGAGUACAGAAGAAUCAAAGAUUAAGCUUCUUUGUAACCACCAAUAUUCUUAAUUGUAGAUGGUCAAAAUCAGAGUACAGAACAGUGGUGGGGUGCAGGAAGCAGAACAAAAUAAUACAAAUGGUAGAGAUGGUAUCCAAUUCAGUCAUAGUGGCACUUUUGCUGGUGUCCCUGGAUCACGGGGAUACUUUUUUGGGGUACGGCGACUUUUUAAACAGACAACAGCAGUUCGUUGACCAAAUGGGCUCUGAGAUUCCACUAUAAACAUAAAGGAGUAUCAAACAUUUGAAAAGUAUAUGAACAGAUUAACAAAUGCAAGCUCUGUCUUAUUUUUGAAAUUUAAAGCUUAGUCUUAGUUAAAACAGAAAAAAAACAAUAUACCCUAGAGUGGUUUUAGAUUGAGGACCAAGCUAACAAGGUGAAAUAGGGAAUAUCAAUAUUAUAAUGAAUGACGACAGUCAUCAGUACAGAGCAGGUUCAUUGGAUGUAUAUGUAUUAUCAAAUAAACGAUAGACAUAUAGUCCACAACUGAAAGUAAGAAACAAACCCGAGCACAGUUGCAAUAAGGAAGCACCCAUCAAUUGAACUGCUCUUUCUGAAUUUUUGACUUCUUCCUGUCAAUACAAAUACAAAAUGUACAAGUUAGCUCAGGGCCAUUGGUUGAAUUUUUUUUUUUUUCUUUUUUUCCCUGGAAAAAAGAAAGAAUGGUCAAUGACUCAAUUCUUUGUGUCAUUCGAGGCAGUUAAAAGCACAACGCAACUCCUUGCAGCGUUUGCACAUUCCUCUUAAGUUAUCUUCUUGAUAAAUAAAUUUUCGCUUCAUGCAACAAGUAUACAAAAUAUGAAAGCAAAAGAAUACCUUUAGGAUUCACAAAAAAUAAUGUAAUUCAGUUCUCACAGCUGAAGUUAUAUUUACCUGAGGAUCAUGACCCUUUGCAGCGACAAAUAAGCCUCCAACACGAACCAGAGGAAGACAAUACUCAGCUGGAAAUCAGAAGUAACAAUAAUCACCAACUUAGUACUGAUGAAAUACUUAAAGCUACAGAAGGCAUCUUACAAAGAUAAAAACAUAAUUACCUAAAAUUCUCAUUUCUGCUACUGCUCUGGCAACCGCUACAUCAUACUGUUCUCUGAAGGAUACAUCCUUCCCCAAAGUCUGUCCUCUAACAAGAUUCAGAAUCUAUUUUAGCCACUACAAUGUAAACGGAGCCAUACAUUGAACAAUCUAAAAGAUGCAAAUGAGGCGCAAAAGGAAAAAUAAGAAUAACAAUACCUCAGCUCUUCCCCUUACAAUUUGAACAUUUAACAACUGAGUAAGACUAACAGCAUGCUCCAAGAAAACACAUCGCUUGUUCAUCGACUCUAGAAGAGUUACUUUCCAAUCUAUCCAUAUAAAUUAUCAUUAAACAAAUUUUAGAAACAGACAAAAUUAAUAAAUUUGUAGGAAAACUAAUUAAAUAUACAAUUUUUAAUGUUGAAGAAGACAACCUGGACAAGCAAUAGCUAAAACCAAACCGGGAAGCCCCGCGCCGGUUCCAACAUCAACAAGCUUAAGAUUGCUAUUGCAUGAACUAUCGCAAUGCGAAGUGUACGAGUUUUUUAUAGGAGGUAUAAUUGCAAGUGAAUCGUCAAUGUGCCUUUCCAUUACUUCGUUCACGUCUUUAACAGCCGUUAGAUUCAUUUUCUGCAAAUUUUGUUUUCGUUUUUUAAAAAAUAAACCCAAAUAGAAAAACAUAAACAUAAAUACAGAAAAGGGAUACCCGGUUCCAUUGAAGAAGGGCAUCGACGUAGAGAUGAAUCUGUUCUUGUUGGCGCGUAUUUAGGGUUUCAAAGUGAGAAGAGUUAACGAUUCUGGUGGUAGUUAGGGUUUUUGCACGGAUUCUGUGAGGACAAAACGUGUUUUGGUUCGAAGACGGAAGGUGUUUGAUUAAAGUCCUCGCAGAGAAUGGAAAGUGAAAGACGAUAGGAACAGAAACCCCACAACGCCACGUCAACAUUUUCGCGCGCGCGGUCUCUUGGCUCUUUUUCAUAGUAAAGUAUAGACGUCUUAUUUAUAUUUUUUAUUUGUUCUUAUUCUGAAAAAACGAUUGUUAUUAUGCUAAAUUUGAUAAAUCUUUAUUUUUUAAGCGAAAAAGAUUUUUCGACUUCACAUUCUAAGCUAAGAGUAAUUGCACGAGCACAUUUUACUUUUGUAUCUUCAAAAAUAACAAACCGAAAUGAUAAAAUAAUGAAAUGACAGCCUCAUGGGCUAUUGCCCAUUGUUAACCUGGACUCCAUACAGCCCAGGCCAAGUUCAUGGGCUCAGCCAUAUGCAGUUAUGCACAUGCCAAGUACUGAUAGCCCAUGAGCCGUAACAUGGACUCCACUCAGCCCAGGCCUAGUUCAUGGCUCAGCCAUAUGCAGUCAUGUACAUGCGGACCUGCCUAAAGUACUUACAGAAGAUUACAGUGUCAAAUGGCACCGGCUUCGGAAAAUUUAGAGGACUCAGUAAGUUUGGCUGCUAUAUUAAUAUGAUUUUUUUUAUUUUUAUAAUGAUAAAUUUAUUAUAUUUUUAAUAAUUUUAUUAAAAUUAUUAUUUAAAUUUUAUAUUUAUUACAUAUUAUUAACUCUCUUUUUUCAUAAUUAUAGGUUUUUUUAACAGCGGCUACAAUUUAAAAGUUACAACGCCUCAAUUCUAAACAGAGUCUUUCUUUGCUGAGUAUUGAUAUUUGACUACUUGAAAUUAUUUCAACAAUCAUAUUUUUUACUUUAUUUUAUUACUUUCAAUAAUUACCUUAUCAAAUAUUAAAAAAAACAUAUAUUAAUUUUUAUUUUAUUUUAUUCUCUCUGCCCCACCCCUCUCUCUAACAUAACCAUCAGUCCCACCACUUAUCUUCAUCAAAAACAAAUUCAUCAUCAUUAUCCCCACCACCACCUCCACCAUCUAUCUUCUUGACCAUCAAUUCAUCAUCUCCACCAACAUAUAAAGAAGAGUUUCAAAGUUUAGUUUUGAUUAAUUUUAUGAACAGGUGGUGGGUAUUAUUGUUAUUGAUGAUAUUGGUGUUGAUAAUCAACAAUUUUGUAUAAUUUUAGUUUAGAAUUUGACUAGAAGUAAAUAAUUGAUUUAAAUUGUGAUCAAUUAAAAAAUUAGAGAGAUGAAAAAUUAAUCUAUUUGAGAGCUUAAGACGGAAGAAAAUAUAUUUAUUUUUAAUUAUUUUUCUAUUUUUCAAAAGGGCAAUUAUGAAACAAAUAAUUUUAAUUGAAAAAUGGGGACUGGUGUGACAAAUUGAGAAGUCCAAAUAUCACUACUCAUUUGCUAAAUGUAAAAUGUCCAAGGGGCCAUGCUAUCCCGGCUCUCUCUCUCUCUCUCUCUCUCUCUCUCUCUCUCUCUCUCUCUCUCUCUCUCUCUCUAUUUUUAGUCUUUUGGGUUUGAUUCAAUUAUAAAUAAUAAUUGAAUUUUGACAAAUGGCACCCCGUUGGUAAAUACCUUCAUUCUAUGUAUUAAACCAAUGAGUUUAAUGUAGACAUGAAUUUAUAUACUAUUUAAACGGAUAAUUUUUCAAUCAGAGAUCCCUAACCAUAAUAAGCUUAUGAACAAGUUAAAAGAUACACAUUUCUAGGGGUGUUCAGAAUCCAAUCCGUCCAAUCCGCUCAAUCUGUCUGAUCUGCUCAAUCCGAUUCAUAUAAAUCCGAUCCGUGGAUUGGUGGAUUGGAUAUGGAUUGAAAAUUUAAAAAUCCGCAGUCGAUGGAUUGGAUAUGGAUUUACUUAUGUAAAUCCGCAGAAAUCUAUGAAUCCGCAAAAUAUAUAUAUAUAAUUAAAAAAUUAUUAUAAAUUUAAUUUAAAAAAAUAUAAAUGUGACAUUACAUAGUUACAUAAGCACUAUAACAUAUUUUAUUCAUUACCAAUAAUAAUAUAAAAUGAAAAAUAAUUAAAUAAUCAAAUAUACAAAUAUAACUUGUAAAGAUUAUAAAACAAAAUAAAAGCAAAGUCACACGCACUAGCAAAAGCAAAGUAACAUAACGUCAAGUCACCAACAAUUUGCAAAGUCACCCAAAAGUAAAGUAACAUGACGUCAAUUCACCAAUAAUUUGCAAACAAAAAACCCUAAGCUUCACAGCCGUCACACACACUAGCAACACUCAAUACUGGUUGGAUACACUCUCGACACGGAUUUGAAGGACAUCGGUCGCGCGAUUCCGGCGAGAGCAAGCCAUUUUCUUUCCCAAGUCCAUCGAGCCACUUCACAUUCACUAGUUCCAGCUAAACAAUUUCACUAUCACAACCUUCAAGAUCGCCACCCGUACGGCUUCUCCUGGUUCCCAUCGUGGAUGGCUCUGUAAUCACCACUUUUUGACAGGCGCAAUAACCCUGGUGAAGGAUCAGAUUGUGUUUGGUUUCCGAAACUUCGUCAUUUCAAUUAAUUGUGGCUUUAUUUGAACAAUUAAUUUCAGUGUUAUAUUAACGUAUUAUUGUAACUUUAUUUGAACAAUUAAGUUUGGUGUGUUAUAUUUUGAAACUUUGAACGUAUUAUUGUAGUUUUAUUUGAAUAAUUAGUCUCGAUGUGUUAUAUUUUGAAACUUUAAAUGUAUUAUUUUAGCUUUAUUUAAAUAAUUUAUUUAUUUAAAUUUUUUUCAAUUUUAAAUUUAAUGGUAGCAAAAUUAUUUUUAUAUUAUAUAUAUAUUUUUUAUUUCAUUAGUUGGAGAGAGCUAAAAAAUUUUAAUUCGAAAACUAAUGCGCAAAAUGAUGGAUUGGAUAUGGAUUGAGUCAAAUCCGCAUCCGAUCCGCAGACGUAUGGAUUGGAUAUGGAUUGAGUCAAAUCCGCAUCCGAUUCGCAGAUGUAUGAAUUGGAUUUAUAUUGAAUUUUAUCAAUCCGUGGAUUGGAUUGGAUUGAAAAAUUAUAAUCCGCAAAAUCAUAGAUCGGAUAUGGAUUGAUGUCAAAUCCAUAAAAUCCGAUCCGCGAACACCUCUACACAUUUCAAUGCAACGUAUUUUAUCCUACAUUAUAUUGAUAUAUGUAUUUUUUUUUUUUUUUUGGUCUUUUACUUUAUCUCUGACUUUAAUACGAUGAGAGAUUCAUGAUUGCAAGCUCACUUUUAUUGAAACUUCAAAUAUGCAAAUUCUAUAAAGUAUUUAUUAUAAUUAAAUAAAAUUAGAUAUGACAAUGUUUUUUUAACUAACUCUUUUAGGACUAAAUUAAUUCAUGGAUUGAAGCAUAUAAAAAAUCUUUUACAUUUGCAUAUAACAAAUAACACCAAUAAUAACAAGAAAACUUUACAAAUAGUAUUGCACUAAUUCUAAAUGAUAACACCAAUUGAAUUCAAAUUUGAUUAAAAACUUCAAAUUAAUUAUUAUUUAAAAUAACAUAAUAUCAACUAAUAAUAGCAAUUCAAUUAAACGAAAAUACAGCAAAACAUUCUUAAAUUUAAUGUUGUUUGUUUCAAAUUUAUUUAUUUAUUUAUUUAAAUAAGAUAUAGUAAUAUAAUUUAAUUAAAAUUAAGACAAAUAAUUUGAAACUUGCUUUUUACGUCUUUUUUUACAUGACAUGUUUUGCUUUGCCUCUAAAUAUUGUACCGUACUCUUACAGCCUACAUUCCCAAACAUCUAAGCUCAGUCCGGUCCACUUGCCUGCCGUAUUCUGCCAUGUGCUUGUGCCUUACCCGUACUGUGUCUCGUGCUUCUCAACUCGUUGGACAUCUCUAGCUAUACGUGUUUGUAAAAACAGAAAAAAAAACAAUUCACAAGAGGAAGGUGGUGUCAACCCACUUCGUUAAUGUAAUGAUUAUGGGCAGAUAUUUGGAACCAAACAUGCAAGGCCACAUUACUCGGACACUUUUCCCCCUGCUGGUCCCAAGCGGCCGCACCGCCUACUUGAACAUUCUCGCUGCUCGAAUAAUAAUCGCAAAAGCAGUGGGUCCAAACUUCAGUAGCAAGAUGCAGAAACCAGUUGCUCUGUAUACAAGCAUUAUGUCAAUAAAUUUGGUUUUAUAUCACUUUCAUGUCAAAUAUUAAAUUUACUCCUCGCAAUCCUUGUUAUGUUGCAUGUACCGGCCAGUUGUGUGAGUGGACUUGAUGUUGCACGUCAUAGAAAAAUGCUAAAGGUCAAAAAAUGAGCACAUGUAGAGAUGCCCGGUAUAUAGUCAUCUAUAUAGCUAACAAGCAAUAUUCAUAAAGAUUAGCAGACAUGACAUACUGUGACCUUUUGAUCUUUGGGUUUGAUUUUUGUUUUGGAGCCAAAAAGAUUUGAACCUCUUUAUCAAAAUAUUUUUUACUUUUUUCUAGAAUCUCACCUUUGCCUCAAACUAGCUACUUUCGUUUGGCCCACAACAUACACAAAUAUACAUUUAUCUGUUUUUCCAUUUCAUAAGAGGAGAAAGUGGGAACCAAAGGCUGGUUCAUGUAUGGAUGACUUUAUCAGAGUCAAAAUAUAAAGUCAUUGAUCAAAAGUUUAUAUGGGUGAUUUUUUUUAACCCAUAACGCAACCAUUUUGCCUUCUAUUCAAGAAACAAAAGCACUUUCAACUUAGCUAAAGGGUCUGUUAUUAGUUAAAAGUGAAUAAUCUAUAAGCAGCUAGUUAAUGAAAGUUGAGGCAAGCCUUGUUUAAAGCUAUCCAAACGGUGCCUUAAACCUAUCGCCGAGUUCGAACUGUUUAGUGCUGUCAAUCAAAGGUCAUCUUCAAUUCAAAAAAAAAAAAUUAACAAAAAGAAGUGCAAACAGUUGAGCCAUUUUUUAAUUUGAGAAGUUUCAGCUCAAAUUAAUAAUUAGCACACCGCUUCAAUUGUUUAAUACCACUUCCUAAAACAGAUGAUUUAUUGGGUGGCGUUCAAAGGUUCUAUCUAAUGCAUUGAAAUUUUCAACCAAAAUGUUUAAGAUAAGGAAUAUAAAAGAACGUUUUUGACUGUAAAUAUAAGAUGGCAAAUGCAUCGAAUAUGAAGAAAAUAUUCAGCCCAGAUACAGUAUAUGAUCAUGACCCAUUUCAAAAUAUGCUUAUUUGGGAAUCUUUUCUUUCUCACAGUAAAAAACAACGAUAGAAAAGAAGGGCAGCUAAGCUGCUAGGAACUUUUUUAUAUAUAGUAAAGAUAAAUGGUUUGAGGAACAGCAGCUAACAUUUUUGUCUCCACUGCUGCUAAAUGGUAAUAUUCACCAGAGUGCUUUUGCAGGAACCACCCAAUAUUCUUUCUCAGAGUACCACAUGUUUAUCUCUUUCUCUCUUCGAUUAUCUGACUCUGUCAUUCUUGAGUUCUAUGAUUCCUCUGUCAAUUUUUAUUUAUUCAAAAUUGCUUGCUAGUUUUAUAAAUAUUAUAUGUGUAUGCCCCUGCCAAAUUCCCAUCUUUAACUAAACCCAAUAAAGCUUAAGCAUAUUUCAUCUACUUCAUCAUAUACAGUCACAAACAGCCUUUUAGUACUGUAGCUUAAUAUAAUAUCAUUACUAUAAUGUAUACAAAAGUGAAUGAGUUCUGCUGCAACACUACUUAUAAUAUCGUCGCCAAAGCCCAAAACUCGAUCCCAGUGGCAGUCAUAAUUCAGAGAUGAUUUAGCAAUUAAUUAGCAUAAAAGUCGCCACAUCAUUUCCCUCUAAAUAUACUUUUCCACAAUGCUACAGUUAAUACCACGCCAACAAAGUGAAUCUGAAAAAAUACUCUCAUUAAUUUUCACUCUUGUCAACGCAGCUAGGUAAUUUAAACUUUAAUUGCAUCGAAUAUUCUUGCACCGAUGUGUUUUUAAAGAAUGUUCAUAGUAUCGCACACGCUCCUUUGUACACAGCUCUUCCAUCUCCAUUCUACAUGGAAAAAUCUCCUAAGUUUUUUGUUCUUGCUUUAUGACUCAUGAUGAUGUAUUAUUGUAUUAAGCGUACUAGCCAGUGUAAAAUUUAGAAUAUUUUUAGCAACGGAAAUUAAUAUAAAGUGAAUCUGUUGUACCAAAUAGUGGUGGGAUAUACAUACACACUCAUGUGAUUGGAGAAUAGAAGACAAGGCAGGUACAUUGUGUUGCAUCUGAUAAUUCUUUCCAUAUGAAAGAAAAAAUAGGGUAUAAAAUUUCCUUUUCUUUACAGAACAAGGGCUGGGGUAUGAAAAAGCUAGCACCAUGGGUUUGGUGAUAAUUCUCUCACUAAAAAGAGAGAGAGAGAGUUAUAAUUAGCUAGACAGCAAUCUCUAUCUCUAUCCCUAUAUCUUUAUAUAUAUAUAUAUCAACAUUCUCUCUCUAUAAGAAAUUGGAUUUUUCUUCAACGUUUCAACGCCAUCACCCAACAGCAAUCAUCAUGCCUUCGUCCUCCUUCCCUCUGACUUACCACCAUCAUCAUCAUCAUUACCCCCUCACCACCACCUCCACCACUCAAUACCUUUCAACCCUUUUCAGUAUUCACAUCCCAAAACCAAAACGACAACAACAAAACCCACAAAUACAAGCACAAGAAGAGCAAGAACAAGGGAAAAAGAAAAAGAAGAAGAAGAGGAAAAAAAAAAAAAAAAACAAGAGGUUUUGUUUGUAUGUUUAAUUAUGAACAACAACAAACCCUAGCUAACUUUCAAACUUAAUGAGUGAAAGGGUCUUUUUGGUGUAAAGGAUCCAACAACUCCUCUGGGGAAUCAAGCGUCUCGGUCCGAUUUAUUUGCUAGAUCAUCAUCAAGCAAAUCAUACGAGUUGAUCAGUUACAAGUUUUGUGAUCUACAACAUAUGUGUGUGUUUCUUCCUUAGCUAGUACUUGCUGCCUAGGUAAUUAAUAUUUUUGUGUGGUGCUUAGAUCAUUUACUUUAAGACGAAAUUUUUAAUAUUACUAUUGUAUGUGGAAAUGGGUAUUUGUGACUCAAGUAAAUCAUUUUUAUUUUUAAUUAUCUCUUUCUGAUCUCAUUCAAUUUUUCUUUGCAUCAUAUAUGUAUAUAUAUAUUUGGGUUGUGUCGGAUUUUCGUUUGUAUACACGCUGUUGUUACAGGCACAGCUAGCGAUGAUGUUUGAGGUUUCAUAAAUAUAUAUCUGUAUUUAUUUAUGGCAUAUUAUGUUAUAAUGAAUGCUUUUUCUUUUUUCUGUUAUAUAUUCUUCAAGACACAAAACCAUCAUGAAUCAUAUAUAUAUACGGUGCAGUGCAAGAGCUUCCAUUUAAUUUAUACAGCUGAUUUGAUUAUAUAUAUGAGCAACUUUAUAAUUUACCUCGCUGCCCGCUGCAAGCUGCAAGCUGAUGAUCAUGAUGAGGUACAUUCAUUAAACUAGGGUUUGUUCUUUUUACGGCUUUUAAGUCAUUGUUUCGUUGUCUUCUAAAGAUUUAUUAGUAUAAUAAUUGAGAACUCACAUAAGAGAUUAUUUAGAUCUUUCGAACUUGUUUAAUUGUAUAAAUGUUCAAUAGAGAAGGAUUCCACUGUAAUUCUGAAAAUAUAUACGUGUUGAUGAUGGCUUGCAUGUACCCAUUCCAUUUGAUGCAAUCUUUUGAGGAUUGUGUUCUGGUCUGGCGAAAGAAAGUAAGUCGAAAUAUUAGAUCCAGAAAUAUUAUUUGGCAGUGGCUAUGGUAGUUUUACUUUACCGUAGAGUACUAAUGAUGACCAUCAGAUCAUAGAAGUGUAGAUUUAAUAUUUAUUUUUAUGAUCGUGUGAUCAUUAUCAUGCUCUGUCAUGGAGCACUGGAGCUGUUUCCCAUAAUAUUUUCACUAAUAAUAUGAAAUUGAAUGAAUAAAAUAAUUCUCCUUUUUUAAUUUCUUUUAAUUUGAAUCCAGUACUCUAUAGUUUGAAUUUUGAAUUGAUGAAAAUUCAAAGUUGAGUAUCCUUUAUUCUUUUAACUCAUUUGGAAAAUGAAUUUCUUGAGUAUCAAUUCUAUGAGUAUUUCCUUUCGUUUCACACAUGUUAGUGGGAGGAAAAUUUAGAAGGCUCCGCAUGCUUCAACAGACAACAAUACAUAAGCUAGUCAAAUUCGGGAUUUUCAAGUACUGGGCGUUUCACGCUUUAUGUCCCCAAAGUCCAUCUGAUAGAAUCUGCCAGCUAAUUAAGGCUAUAGCCUGUUAAUUGCAUCAUAGAUUUUCUCCGAAACCGAGUCUAUAAUAGACGUUGCCUUUUUAAACCACACCUUACAGCCUGUGCAUCAUUACCUGGUCAAAAAUUCAAUAGAAGUCGAUAAAAUCUCAUUAUAUGUUGGACGGUGUUCAAUUUGUGAUUAGGUUGUUUAAGUCACAAACUCAGAUGAUUACAUAUUUUACAACAUGAGAUCUAGUAUAAAUUUAGAUGCAUAUUUAAGUCUAGAAUUUACUCUCUUGAAAAUUUACUCUCACUAACGUCAAUCGAAGAAAAUCUAUCCAUAUUUCAUAGUAUGUGGAAGGGUAAAAUUACCCUAUACUGGUUGGAAUUGUUAAAUGCCUUCACUAGAGAAUGUCCGCACUAUCCACAUACUAUGAAACAUGAGAUCUAGUAUAAAUCUAGAUACAUAUUUAAGUUUAGAAUUUAUUAUCUUGAAAAUUUACUCUCACUAACAUCAAUUGAAGAAAAUCUAUCCAUAUUUUAUAGUAUGUGGAAGGAUAAAAAUGCCCCAUGUUGGUGGGAUUUAUUAAAUGCCUUCACUAGAGAAUAAUUAUAUAUGUAGGUCAUUUCUCUAUCUGCCGCACGAAAUUGAAAUGUGAAAUUUACUUUGAUUGUUGUUGAUCUGAUGUAUCUAAGGUUAAUUUAGCAUUAAGAGAGAGGGGAAAAAGAGUAAAGAAUGGGAAAGUAUGCGUGUCCAAUUUAAAUACUUGGUAAUCUUAGGGGGAUUUAGGCCCCAUUUGGGAUUGCUUUUGGGAGGGUUAAAAGUGAUUUUAAAAAUCUAAAAGUUAAUUUUGGUGUUUGGUAAAAAAAAAUUAAAAUCACUUUUGCCAAAAUCAGUUCCUCAUAUAACUGAUUUUGAAAAGCAGGGAAUGAAUAACUUUUAGAUUCUAAUUUUGAGAAUCAAUUUUAUCCUUUAAUAUAAUUCCAUAAACAUCCUUACAAUUAUUACUUAAAUCCAAAAUUAUCCUUAUUUAAAUUGGAAAUAAAUUUUAAAUAUCAAUUGUUUUAAGAUUUAAAAAAAUCACUAUAGCAUAAAUUUUAUUUUUAGUUAAAAUUAUUAUAAUACACAAUUAAAGAUAAUAGCAAUUAUUUUAAAAUUAGUUAAAAUUAUUUUGAAUUAUUCACUCUGAAUCAACAAAACAUAUUUCUUAUAACUAUUUAGGUAGCUUCUUUUUUAAAGUAUGAUACAACGAAGUAGAUACAUUGAAUUAGAUAAUGUGGGAACCAAGCACGUUUUGCAGGUUCUCAAUAAAAUAAUAGACUUUCUUGACCAAAGAAUUAUACUUCAGAGAUAUUAUAAAGAGUUAAGAACCGGGGAGCUGAGGCAGCGUGUCAUAAGGAAAAUUCCUUCAACUAUCAAGACGCUUCGUUUUCUCCAUAAGAAUAGUUUGUGUAACUAAAGAUACAGGGCACAAAGCUAUAGAAAGUGCUACGUUUAUGCUGCUUGACAAGAAGUUAAUAUGCCAAUUCCACAUUUUUAUAAAAAAAAAAAUUAUUUGAUUCAACGAG
rnacentral:lncRNA from 1 species